rnacentral:lncRNA from 1 species
CUCGUCUUGCUCAAGCUGAAAGAUUCUUUUCUUUCUGUGCUUGCCAUUGGCAAUCAUAUGGAAGAAUUGAGUGUUGGCGUCCCCUUGGACAACUUUGCGAACCUUGGCUCACAAUGCCCACUUCAACUCCUCUUCCCUCAAUAGCUCUUUCAAUCUCAUCUCCACAUCAACUUUAGCAUGAAGCUCUGAGGAUUGCAAAACGAAGGACUCAGCUUUCACAUCUAAGGACUGAAUAAGUGUAAGGAGUCUCUCCUUUUCAAUCUUAUAUAUCCCACUAAGAUGCUUAGCCCAUCCUCGCAAUGCUUAAAUCCGAUGUGCCAGUUGAUAAUAAUAAGAAUAUUUGAAAAAUGAAAAUACCUUUUAAGAAUAAAAUCUUUGCAUGAUAUCUUGGUCGUGGAGCUUACUAAAGAUAACCUUAUUAAGAGGAAUUGACAUGAAAGUACGCAAUGUGUCUUUUGUCAGCAUGAUGAGACGAUAAACAUUUGUUCUUUCAAUGUAAAUUGGCUCGUUUUAUAUGGUUAGUCAUCCAAAUAGCUUUUCGCUUGUACCCUCUUUGUAGUCUUGCUAAUAUAUUUGACAACUAGUUACAUGGGAUUGAACACAAGUUUAGAACUCUUCUCAGGGUAGGAGCGCUCCGUUAUUUGGUCGCUUUGGCUAUGUGGAAAUGCUAACGUUUUUACGGGGAAGUUACAUCUCUUAUUCAGGUUAUCUACAGAUGUAUCGGGACGCUUCAUUUAUGGUCGUCUCUACAGCGAAUGGAGAAUCGCGACCUCUUUAUGGAGGUUUAUACACGAUUGGAGGCUACGGCGAGGGAUACUUUUACCCAACAUGGGUGGCAGCAUGAUCUCAGGAUUGGCCCCCUACGUCUUAGGCGUUAUACGAACACUAGCUGUUUCUUAGUAUUUCGUCUCUUUUUUGGUUUUUUGUUCUGUGUGCAUUUUAGUAUGCCGAGGCCGGGUGUAAUGCUUAAACCUUUUAAGUAAUAAAGCGUCCCUUAUCGAAAAUGGGUGUGUUGUGCGUCGGUCGACGAAUCUUUGUCAAAGAUUGGCUUAGUUGUGAACCAUCUGACCGUAUGAUGCUCACUGUACGGCCGUUACUCUCCUCUGCUCACCAUAUUGCAACAUGGUCUAUGUUGCAAACCUUCAUUGCAACACGGCUCUUGUUGCAAAAUCACAUCUGAUUUGUGGUUGUGUCGUCGCCAUUGCAAUAAGAUUCUUGUUGUAAACCUUCGAUGCAAUAGGACCUUGUUGUAGCACCUUUGGCCAUGUCUGUCACUAUUGCAAUGAGACCUUUAUUGUGAAACUUUGUUGCAAAAGCAUCUCCGAUCGUGUCUGACACCAUUGCAAUAGACCCCUUGUUGCAAACCUUCAUUGCAACAUGAUUCGUGUUCCAAAGUCAUCUCAGGCUCCUUUAAAAGAAAAUCGAUCGAUAGGGGAAAAAUCCACACACCUGCAACACCGGGCCGGCUGGCGCUCACCCGUCCCUGGAGAGCGCAUCUCAUGGCGAAAACCCAAAGAGAAAUAAACUGGAUAUAGAAGACGAACGAGGAAAAAAAGGAAACGUGUGGCUCUCGUUCGCGAUUCAGAAAGGAAGGAAAAAUGAUGAGUGGUCAAGGGCCCCACAUGGGACGCGUGUCGCACAUUGAGGCAGCAGAAGAUGUGAUGUAAUCGUCCAUUGAGGGAAGCUUUUCCCUUAUAAGAAAUGGAAAGUUUGAUACAAGGAAGACACUCGCCUGCCUAAGUCAGCCCGUGGGGUGUGUGUGCCGGGUGAACCCUAUCUCGUGGCGUCACCUUCCCUUCCUCACCUCCCCGUCGAAGGAGGCAACUUGUAGGAAAAAACAUCCUAAGUGGCAGUCGGCUUGCCUCCUGGUGUUUUAGGAGUCUUUGCCGCUGGAUAGUUGUAGUAGCCCUAGAUGACACAAAUUGAUGGCCUGGGAUAUCUCGGUGAUGGUCGUGUUUCUGAGCCCGCGGAAGCGUGUGGCAGCAACAACGAUGAUUUUUAGUGGAGGUUUAUCUUCGGGGUUCCCUUUUCUCGACGUCGAUGACGGAUUGCUCCAUUAGGAGACAAUUUGUUGAUUUACGUGGCGGCCUCAAUCUAGUUGAAUGUGGGCCAUCUUCGAGGUGCACGGGCAUGAGCUAUUUUGUUUCAUGCGGCAUGACCCAAAGCUGUUGUGCGAUGCAUGGUUGACCACUAGUCCCGAUCCGAUCCAUGGAACGGAGCAAAAGAGCACAACAUUUUGGGCCAAUGUCCACACAUGGUUCCAUGAACACAAGCAUUUCGCGCCCUACUCCGACGCGGUCAUCCACACCAUGAAUCGAAGUCCCUCAACCAUUGAUAGUACACCAUCCAAGAGGCCGUCUCGAAGUAUUGCGGUCAUUUGAAGAAUUUCAUCGCACGGUGGCCUAGUGGUGCGCAAAUCAUCGAGCUGAUAAGUUUAUUUGGCCGGAUAUGCAUAGUUUCGUUGAUCACUAGCCGGAUAUGCAUACUGUUCUAGCCGGACAUACAUAGUUUCGUGGUCACUUGUCGUUAUGCAUAGUUUUGUUGGUCACUUGCCGAAUAUGGAUAGCUUUGUUGAUCAUAGCCGAAUAUGCAUAGUUUUCUUGAUCACUAGCCGGUUAUCUAUGCAUAGUUCCUGACAAUGUUAUAUUUUGUAGCCUUCUCGUGCCUGUACGGUGUUCAAGAAGUUGGGGAAGAAAUACUUCACCAUCAUGCAUUGUUGGUUGAAGUUGGAUGCACAAUAGAAGUGGAACCUAUUCAUUGCCCAGACCGCCGCCCAAGCCACCAAGGAAGAAACCAGUUACCCAACCGACCCAACAAAAGAACCGCCCAAGAAGGUUAAGAGAGUUUUGGGGAAAGAAGUGGGAGGAGGAGAGGGAGAAGCGAGAAGGUGUGGCGGCCAAGAUAACUGAGAGGUCCGAGGACAUCUAGUCGAAGAAGGAGGAGGCAUACGUCAAGCGCUCCGACAUCAAGGAGGAGAACAAGUCGGAGAGAUUCAAAUUGUUGAUGGAGGCGACCGAGAAGAAACUCAAGCUUGAAGAGAAGAGAGUCAUGGUCGAACAGAAGAAGGUGAAGAUCGCAGUCGAUGCAGAUGACGCCAAGAUGUUGACUUUUUUGUGGAUAUUUUGGAUGCGGACACAAGAAUGAUCGUGCAAACCGCCCGCUACAAGAUGUUGCAGUGGCUGGAAGAUGAGUUGGAGGCGCCGGACAAGGAGGAUAUGGAGGCGGCGGGGAACGAGGCAAAGGCUGCCUACGAGGCGGUGGCGACACCUUAAGCGUGGAAGCUCGGAUUGCCGGUUCGGCAGGAUAGAAAAUUUGAUUUUUUUUUCUUGCAUAGACUGCCGCACUGAUAUUCUUUUAUGACCGGACAUGUAAAAACUAGGCAUACUUGCCUCUUUUUGGUUGUCAUGUGAUCCGGCAAGGGAUCGGACUUUAUUUGAAUUUCAAAUUGCCAUUUACAAGCGGACAUAUACAUGACUGCAUUGGAUGGUCGGCUCCCGUAUCAAUGUCCGCGGACUGCUCUCUUAUGUCCGCAGACGAAUGCUGGAGCCAAUUUGCGGGUUAGCGUUUGAGAUGCCCUAAGGAUGAAAUCUCUACAUCAAAAUUUGACCUUGUUUGGUUGAACCUGGCAAUUCACAUGCUGAAGGCAUUGCAUGGAGUUUGUUUGGACUUCUAUUUCGGUGAAAAUUCUUGAUCUACCUCAGUGGUUCGAAUUAACGACGACGGUGCUCGUGCGCCGUUCCCUUUGUAACAGCGUCGUUGCCAAACCGUUUCUCUUGUUACCUUAGGGUUGACAUCAUUGAUGGCUGAUUUUUUUUGCAACUAUUUCAAUUCAUUGAUCUUUUUUUACUUUUGUAAUGUUGGCUUUUUUCUUUGCGAAAAACUUUCAAUCUAUUCAUCUUCAAUCAUGGCGGUUCGAAAAACAACAGAGGUAAUAAAAAUUACAAUGAUGUCCGUGGACCACCUAACGACGACUACAAAUACUUGAGCGAGCAGAAGGCGCGCCACCGUCAUCGACUCUCCCUCAUCGGAGUCAGGUAAACCUUAUUGUAGUAGGCACUCAGGAAGUUGUCGUGCUAAACUCCCAUAGGACCAGCACACCAAGUAGCAACCAUCGCCGAUGAAGGAAGCCGUAUAUUAGAAGGAUCAACCCUAUAAACACCUGAACGAAGACGAGCGAAGAUCAGAUCCAAACAGAUCCAUGGAAGACUAGCACCAACCCAAUCCCGCGAGAUCCGACAAGACACGCCUCCACACGCCCUCCGACGAUACUAGACGCAUCAUCGAGACGAGGAUAGAAUGUGGGAGACAUUAUUUGUACUAAGGGACAUCGCUGCCGCUACACAGCCCCAACUAAGACGCUGAACCUAGAGGCCAUGGGAAUGGGGCGGACUGGCGGCGCGUCAGGAGGUGAAGAGGUUUUCUUGUGGAGGAGGAAAGAGACUUAAACAAUUUGUUUGUAAUAUUAGUUGUCUGCAUUGGUUCAUAUUUUGACUAGUACAAAGGCAGAAUGCAAUUAGUACCCUUUUAUGUAAAUUUCCAUCAUAUGUCAUCUCAUUAAUUUUGGCUCUAGAAAAUUUUCCAAGUUCGUGGGUUAGAGAUAGAAGAUGUGAUUGACAUUUUUUUCAUGGAACAGGAACAAGUUUUACUUGAAAAUUGUAUUACAGAAGUUAAUUACCAGUUACUCCCUCCAUUCGGAAAUACUUGUCCAAAAAAUAAAUGUAUCUAGACGUAUUUUAAUUAUAGAUACAUUCAUUUUUAUGACAAAUAAUUCCGAAGGAAGGGAGUACAAAACAGAAUGACUGGUCUGUUUGGUGGAAGGAUUGUCUUCAGCUACUUCACCCCAAAAAGAAAAAAACUUAGAUCCAUGCCCUCCAUAAGCCACGGAAUGGCAGAACAAUCAAGCUCUGCUCCGAUUCUUUGUACCUUGAAAUUUUAACAAACUUAAUUUUUCACCUCGUCACUUUCGCCAAACCUACUGAAAUUUCAGUGCAUCAUGUUGGACAUCAGGAUAAUCUCUUAGGCUAGUCAUAGUGGGAGUAACUUAGCUAGUAACAUAGCGUACUUCAAGAAAUUUUUGUUUAUGUGGCAAGUAUUUAAUGUGAGGUGGUAACAUAAUAUGUUACUGUAACAUAGCGUUUUCCAAGACAAGAUGAGUCUACAAGCUAAUAAAUGAAGCUAUCUAUGACAUUAUUAUCAUGUUACCUUGCAUUAUGAAGGUAGUAACUUAGACUAGUGUCAUGCACUCCCCACUGCGGAAAACAGUUGAGGCAUCCACAAAAAUUCAUGAGUUUCGAACCUUAAUUCAAUUUUCAAUCUGUAGAUGCUAGCAGCAUCUAUGUCCUCGAUCCACACCUAUCAACCGGAUGACCAAGUUUAUGACAAGUUGACAACAUUAUCAGAGCCUCACAGCGGCGAUCAGCAAAGCUAGGUUCCAUGGACCGGAUGACCAAGUUUAUGGCCAUUUUUCAUGGUACUCAGCAUUCUUGGGGUGGUUUGGACCGCGAGAAAAUAUCCCGUUCAGAGAUGCUCGUCCUAAAUAUAAAAAUACUCAAGCUCUCAUGUUUAGUUUGUGCGUUCACCACAGCAAAGCUAGGCUCUCUUUUGGUGAAGCCUUUCUCCAUCUGGUUCUUUUUUGUUCUGUUUUGGCGGGCGAAAACGUCAGUCGGAUCGUUGGACACGUCCUCCGAUUUUGCAGUACCGCGAGAACAUAUCCCACUUGGCCUUCGGUUACGGAAAAAGAACGGAGAUUUGCCGGCUCUGCAUGGGAAUAUUAGGUGAGAUCUCUUCACUUUCUCUCCAUUGCCAAAUUCCGACCAAGCACAGAAUAUAUUCUUUCCACGAGCCAUCGAUCAGCCGGCUAAUGUUGCAUGUGUGUCUUAUCUCAUCAUUGAGCUUCAUUGGGGCACAUAAUUUAAGCAUCAACCGGAUUCACCUGUCGGGUGGAAUGUGGUCUAGCCACUACGCAUCUGUUUUACUGUCAAGUUGGGUAGCCCAUAAACGCGUUUCAUUCUUAAUAACUUGAUUGUUACAUUUAGUCAAACUUCAGGGAUCAAGGAGGAGGCGGGGUGUAUCACCUGCACAUGGAGGAAUAUUCAAAUGAUAUCACCUACGCGUUUCUCUCCCGUCACGCAUGGAGGUCAGCCCUGGACGGCGCGCCGUGCGACGCGGAGCUGCACGCCGGCGUGGAUCUGGCCCUCCGGCCUCUUCUACGGCGCGGUGGCGCUGGAUGCUGGGGCGACGGCCCAGGGAGCGGCGGCCCCCUCCUCUCUUCCUCGCGGUGGAGGAGCGGCGGCUGACCGUUUUGGCGGCGGAUCGGGGCGUUCUGCUCGGAUCUGGUGGGCGCGCGCCGUCGGCGGGAUGCGGCGGUGCUGGCCGUCCUGGGCCGCGUGGGUGGCAGGGCGGCUGUGCGUGGUGUAGGCCCCGGCGCCUCUGGCCCUUGGCGGCAUGGAGGGCCUGGGUUGUGUCGGCGCCAUGUGUGGUUUGCCCUCCGGACAGAUUUGAUCUGGCCGGUGCGACCUCAAUGUGCGGUGGUUCAGAUCGACAGCGACCCGUGCACGCGAUGCUUGAUGGAGGUUCCUUCAGCGGAUCCGGGUGAAAACCUAGUUCUCGACUUGAUGCCAAGACCGGCGUUGGCGGCACUCUUUUGUGUCAUUACCUUUUUGAAGGCCUCACCGUGGAGAAGCUCCAGACCUCUAUCCGCUACCUCCGGGGGAAACCCUAGAUCAGUAGAUCAGAUGACGGCGGCGCGUUGGUGUCGUUUCCUCCUUGGGGGCGUUAUUCUUGGAGGCGUACAAGGGUUCGAGGGACCAGUGGGCGGCUUUUUAGUGGAGCGGUGCUUCAUCCUGCACAUUGAUGAUGGCGGAUCUCGGCGGCGUGGUGCAGUGGAGACUCGGCGCCCGAUGCACGGUGCUGGACUCGCGCAGGAGGGGGUUGUUGUCUGCCGUCAUGGUGGCGUCGAUGGCAGAGUGGCCCGACAAGGUAGAAGCCUCAAUAUCUGCUCUGAAGACGGACCAGUGGAAGAUGGCGGCGACGACACAUUUGAGUGCGUCAGACCAGUUCAUGCCCCAGACCGGGUAUGUGGCUCGGUUCGGGCUUCUGGCUUUUGAUGAUAGGCUUAGGUGAGUGGACUGGGUAUUUGGCUUAGCUAGUGCCCCUUCAUCAUAUGGAUAGGAGUAGUGGCAUAUGAUGCCAAGAUGGCGGAUUCAGACCUAUUGUUGUAAUACUUUGUAAGGUCCUCGAGAAUAAUCAAUAAAGUGGCCGCAUGCAUCUCCUAGAUGCAGAGGCCGGGGGUCAUCCUCCUUUUCUAAAAAAAGGACGCGGUUAAACUGAACUCAAGCUUAUGUGCGUUCGGUUGAACAGCAAAAUAAAAUAAAAUCUGAUUUCUUUUGGUAGGACAUAUUGACAAAAGUUUUCAUUGCUUGCGGAAUUUCAACAUCGGAUGACAUUCGUGGGAAACAUGGCAAAAAAAAACGAAAGUGAUGCUCCAAAAUGCUUAUGGAAAAAGCAUUUUGGAGCAUCGAUUUUUGUGUUUUUGCCAUGUUUUUCAAGAAUAUCAUUUCGUGAUUAAACUUUGCAAGCAAUUGUUCAUAUUUUUAUGAGUUUUAUUUCUCAAAAUGCAUGUUUUUAUUUAUAUUGUUAGUUUUAUGAUAACCUUUUUUUAUCUCUUCACUUUCUUGUGCUCAGUAGGCUGGCACAUGUGGUACUUUUUCUCUCACAAAACACAUUAUAUGUGAACAUUAUUAAAUACAACAACAGGACAGUCCAUUUGGACGAGCUAUAUCUAAAUGCACAUUUAACGUAUAUGAUAUCACUUAAGAUAUAAUGCAGUGAGAGUGCUCUUAGAUACAACAAGAAGAUACAAUGCAUUCAAGGAGUUGUAUCUAACCCCGCAAAAAAGGAGUUGUAUCUAAUUUCAUAUUUAAUGAAUAUGAUAUGGUUCAAAAUAUAAUGCAUUGGGAGUGCCAUAAGUACUAUUAAUUUAAGUAGUUAGGACUUAAGAGUGAACUUCUCUUGUAGUGGCCAAAACUAAAACAAGCCAAUAGUGAGACUAAUAGUGAUUUUUAUUCAAAAUUGAAGUAGUUCGGGUUGCAUGCUUUUCAUGAUAACAAUUUUCUACAAGAUCGGCCAUGGUUUAAGUGCCUUCUUUGGCUCCUUUUUCUAGUACAUGGGGAAUUCAAACUUCUCAUGUCACAUUGUACUAGUCAUUUCCUUUAAUGAUGUAGGACUCUAACUCUAGUAAGAAUAAGUUUUCCUAAACUAAUAUUGAGGGUAGCUUCACGAAAUAUAAAAAAUGGACUUCGGCGGUCCUAUAGUGUUGGGGAACGUAGCAUGCAAUUUCAAAAAAAAUCCUAUGCUCACGCAAGAUCUAUCUAGGAGAUGUAUAGCAACGAAGGGAGAGUGUGUCCUCGUAGACCGUAAGCGGAAGCGUUUCACAACGUGGUUGAUGCAGUUGAACUUUCUUCGCGAUCCACCGAUUGAGUACCGAACGUACGACACCUUCGAGUUCUGCACACGUUCAGUUCGGUGACGUCCCUCACCUUCUUGAUCCAGCAAGUUGUCGAGGUAGUAGAUGAGUUCCGUCAGCACGACGGCAUGUUGACGGUGAUGGUGAAGUGAUCCGUGCAGGGCUUCGCCUAAGCACUACGAAGAUAUGACCGUGGGAGUAAACGGUGGAGGGGGGACGCCGCACACGGCUAACAAUUGUCUGGGGUGUGCUAGGGGGCGCCCCCCACAUAUAUAUAGGUGGGAGGGAGAGGGGAGAAGCCAGGAGGCGCCCCAAGUAGGACCGAAUCCUACUUGGGUUCCUCCUAGGACCCCCCUUCCUUAUUUACCAGAUGGAAAUGAAAGAGGAGGGAGGAGGGAAGGAAGGGGGAGGCCGAAACCCCCCUUUCCUUCUCCCUUCCCCUCUUUCCUUCUCCUCUGGUUUGGCCCAUAUGGGGGGCGCACCAGUCGUUGGUGGCUGGUGUGUUUCCCUUCUUGGCCCAUUAGGCCCAUAUCUUUUGCCGGGGGUGCCUAGAACCCCUUCCGGUAACCCGAUAUGUACCCGGUACCCUCCGGAACACUUCCGGUGUCUGAAUACUAUCGUCCUAUAUAUAUCAAUAUUUACCUCUCGACCAUUUCGAGACUCCUCGUCAUGUCCGUGAUCUCAUCUGGAACUCAACAUUCGGUCACCAAAUCACAUAACUCAUAUAUUACAAUAUCGUUAUCGAACGUUAAGCGUGCGGACCCUACGGGUUCGAGAACAAUGUAGACAUGACCGAGACACCUCUUCGGCCAAUAACCAAUAGCGAAACCUGGAUGCCCAUAUUGUCUCCUACAUAUUCUACGAAGAUCUUUAUCGGUCAAACCAUUAUGACAACAGUAAUUCCCUUUGUCCAUCGGUAUGUUACUUGCCCGAGAUUCGAUAGUCGGUAUCUUCAUACCUAGUUCAAUCUCGUUACUGGCAAGUCUCUUUACUCAUUCCGUAAUACAUCAUCCUGCAACUAACUCUUUAGUCACUUUGCUUGCAAGGCUUCUUAUGAUGUGUAUUAUCGAGAGGGCCCAGAGAUACCUCUCCGGUACUCAGAGUGACAAAUCCUAAUAUCGAUCUAUGCCAACUCAACAAACAAAUUCGGAGAUACCUGUAAAGCAUCUUUAUAAUCACCCGGUUAUGUUGUGACGUUUGAUAGCACACAAGGCAUUCCUCCGGUAUCCGGGAGUUGUAUAAUAUCAUAGUCGAAGGAAUAUGUAUUUGACAUGAAGAAAGCAAUAGUGAUAAAACUGAACGAUCAUUAUGCUAAGCUAACGGAUGGACUUUGUCCAUCACAUCAUUCUCCUAAUGAUGUGAUCCCGUUAUCAAAUGACAACUCAACGAGCUAGUCAAGUAGAGGCUCACUAGGGAGACAGUGUUUGUCUAUGUAUUCACACAUGUAUUUAGGUUUCCGAUUAAUACAAUUCUAGCAUGAAUAAUAAACCUUUAUCAUGAAUAAGGAAAUAUAAAAUAACAACUUUAUUAUUGCCUCUAGGGCAUAUUUCCUUCAUAUAGAGCAUGCGACACGUAAUUCUUUUGGCUAGCUCCAUAUGUGGUGCUCAUUGCAGCUUGUAGAUGCACAAGGUUCUCUAGGUCAUGGGUGCAACCACAUGGAGAUGAUACCUAUGGCUUUGUUCACAAAUAUGGAUGUCGACCUAGCAAGAAGAUUUGUGAUGCAUUCAUUUUUGCCUCUUGGUUGUCCAUUUUAUGUAGCUUUUUUUAUUUUUCUUUUGUGAGGAUUUAGACACUGUAGUAAAAUGGUUGUGUGCAUCACUUGAUGCAAACGCUGAUGAUUAAACCUUUUCUAAAAGGUAAACUAUUUUAUAAUUAGGUGUUUGGUGCAAAUAAAAGUAAAUAUAAUCAACUCUUCCAAAAAUUAUAUAAAUUGCACCGUAGAAUGAGAAUUGAGGAGGAAUUCAAACAUCUAGACGUAGUUCAGGGGACUAUUAUGGGGCACAGAUGGAGGAUGAGAAGAUAGUUGGUAGAGAAAAGUAGGACAACGAGGCACAAUGAGUAUGAACAAAAAAAUCCCGACUCGUGAGAAGUAGAUGGUGACAUGUUCAUGCAUUGGGCUAGGAGGAACGGUAGGUCAGAACUACGAACGUGCACAGAAAAGGAGGAGAAUGAGAAAGCAGUGGGAGGAGAUAAGAGAAACUUUCCAACUAUUAUGCAAAUAACCAUUAAGAGCUUAUAUGUAAUCCAAUGGUCUCGAGUAUGAAAAUUCACAUUUUUUUAUGAAAAUGGGCAACUAUAAAACAUGCAUCUACAAUGACACAUAUUUCAAUUCCAUAUGGGGUCCACACAAUGAAAAAGGUCAAGUAAAUAUGUAAAUAGUAGCUAAAAUUAUUAUUCAUGAUACAGUGAAUGCCCACUUGGCAUAUGUGGUAAGAUAUCUUAAGAAUAAUCCAAAAUAACACAAUGUAUGUUUUUAUUCAAUUUCACAAUAAAUUUAUAUUUAAUUCUAUGAGAUGGAAGAUACACCUCAUAUUAUUAUUAUUAAAAUUAUUAAUAAUAUUAGUGUUAUAUCUUCUUUUGUGUUUUUUUGUAUAUUCGAUCAAAAGGCUGAUUGCAUAUAACGACUAAAAGUGAGACUGCUGGAAUCUAGCUGGAAGAGAGUGGUACGAAGCAUCAAGACUAGAAUUAGAAUCCAUCUCUUGUCCUACCAUCAUCUUGAAUUAAGGUCUAUUUGAUUUCUAGUAUUUAGAAAAUGUGAGAUAUAAAAGAUAAGACAUGCUAUGAUGCAUAUGUAUGACCAAUAUUCUUUUGGCAAGCAGAUAGCGAAAAAGAAGAAAUAUCGAUUGGCUAAAUGGAGUGUGGUUUGCCAUCCCAAGGACCAAGGAGGGUGAGUAUUCAUGACCUCGAUGUUAAAAAUAUGGCCCUACUUGGCAAAUGGUUGUUUAAGCUACUUACCGAAGAUGGUGUAUGACAAACCCUCCUAGAAGAAAAUAUGUGGGCUCAAAGACAGUGUCCCAAGUAUAUUGGAAGCCUGGGGACUCACACUUUUGGGCUGGUCUUAUGGCUAUGAAGAAACAUUUCUUCUGCUAUGGAUCCUUCACCACUAAAACAGAUCAAAAAUUAGGUUCGGGGAGGAUAAGUGGCUAUGCAAUGCCACUCUCCGGGAACAAUAUCCUACUCUAUACAAUUUUGUGCGUCACAUGGGUGAUGCUAUCGCCACGGUUAUGGAAUCCUUUCUAUUGAAUGUGAUGUUCAUCAGAGAUUUAAUCGGUCCUAGACUUGAAUCGUGGAACACUUUGGUACAACGCUUGUCCAUGGUAAAAUUGUCGCAAGGGAUCGAUGUAUUUCAUUGGAACUUACAAGAGGGUGGUAAUUUAUUGGUGGAGCAAAUGUAUAGAGAAUUCAUCCAAUCAGAUGUGCAUGUUGAUAAUAAUAAAAAGAUUUGGAAAAUGAAGAUACCACUCAAGAAUAAAAUCUUUGCAUGGUAUCUUCGUUGAGGAGUCAUUCUUACCAAAGAUAAACUUAUUAAGAGGAAUUGACAUGGAAGUGCGCAAUGUGUUUUUUUGUCACCAUGAUGAGACCAUAAAACACUACGUCUUCCCAUGCAAAUUGGCUCGUUCUAUAUAUCAGUCAUCCAAGUAGCUUCUGGCUUGUAUCCUCCAUGUAGUAUUGCUAAUAUUUUUGGCAACUGGUUACAUGGGAUCAAUAACAAGUUUAGAAUUCUUCUCAGGGUGGGAGCGCUUGCCAUGAUUUGGCCACUUUGGCUAUUUAGAAUGAUAAGGUUUAUAACGAUAAAAAUCUUCUCUUAUGCAGUUUAUUUACGGAUGUAUCGAUACGCUCCGUUUAUGGCUGCCUCUACAACGUGUGUAGAAUCGAGACCUGUUUAUGGAGGUGUGUACACGCUUGGAGGCCACGACGAAGGAUACUUUUACCCGACAUGGAUGUCAACAUGAUCUUUGGAUUGGCCCUCCUACGUCUUAGGCGUUAUACUGUCUCCACAUGAUACUUUUAUUCCACAUUUUUUCGACUUUUUUUGGAACUUAGACUUGGUUAUGGCUGUGUGCAUCUUAGUUAUGCAGAUGUCGGGUGUAAUUCUUAUACCUUUUAAGUAAUAAAACGCCCUUUAUCGAAAAUGUAAAAUGGGGGAUGACAUAAUAUUUCGCGUUUAGAUGACACAUAUAACUUGAUCCAUAGUGAGUCAAGAUAAAACAACCUUCCUAACCGUCAAAUUAUAUGGUGUAUGAUGGUUAUAGACCUAGUUAUUUAAUCUUAAAUAGAUUGAUGAACACUCAUGAGGGAGUCCUGGACUAGGGGGUGUCCGGACAGCCGGACUAUCAUCGUCCGCCGGACUCCAAGACUACGAAGAUACAAGAUUGAAGACUCUGUCCCGUGUCCGGAUGGGACUUUCCUUGGCGCGGAAGGCAAGCUUGGCGAUACGGAUAUGUAGAUCUCCUACCAUUGUAACCGACUCUGUGUAACCCUAGCCUCCCCCGGUGUCUAUAUAAACUGGAGGGCUUUAGUCCGUAGGACAACAUACAUUACAACAAUCAUACCAUAGGCUAGCUUUAGGGUUUAGCCUCCUUGAUCUCGUGGUAGAUCCACUCUUGUACUACCCAUAUCAUCAAUAUUAAUCAAGCAGGACGUAGGGUCUCCAUCAAGAGGGCCCGAACCUGGGUAAAACAUCGUGUCCCUCGUCUCCUGUUACCAUCCGCCUAGACGCACAGUUCGGGACCCCCUACCCGAGAUCCGCCGGUUUUGACACCGACAUUGGUGCUUUCAUUGAGAGUUCCUCUGUGUCAUCACCGAUAGGCUUGAUGGCAUCUACAACCAACGACGCUGUCCAGGGUGAGACUUUUCUCCCCGGACAGGUCUUCGUAUUCGGCGGCUUCGCACUGCGGGCUAAUUCGCUUGGCCAUCUGGAGCAGAUCGAAAGCUACGCCCCUGGCCGUCAGGUCAGAUUCGGAAGCCUAAACUUCACGGCCGAUGUCCACGGAGACUUGAUCUUCGACGGACCCGAGCCACAGCCAAGCGCGCCACACUGUUGCGAUGGGCAUGAUCUAGCUCUGCCGCCGAACAGUGCCUUGGUGGCCGCGCACGAAUCCGCUCCGGCCAUUGGUCCGGAGCAGACUGCCCAGAUAGAGGAUCGGUGGAUGGACGCCGCCUCAGGGGCUUCAACUGCUACGGCGAUGGAGCCGAACACUAAUCUUGUCCCUCGCAAAACUCGUGAUUCCGAGGUGACGGACUCCUUGCCGGACUCCGAACCUCCCACGCCCCUACCAGUCAAACCGGAUUGGGCGCCGGUUAUGGAAUUCACCGCCGCGGACAUCUUCCAAUACUCGCCUUUUGGCGACAUCCUGAAUUCACUAAAGCAUCUCUCGUUAUCAGGAGAGCCCUGGCCGGACUAUGGCCAGGAUGGUUGGGAUGCGGGCGACGAAGAAAUUCAGAGCCCACCCACCACCCACUUUGUAGCCACUGUCGACGAUCUAACCGACAUGCUAGACUACGACUCCGAAGACAUCGACGCUAUGGACGACGAUGCCGGAGACGAACAGGAACCAGCGCCUACAGGGCACUGGAAGACCACCUCGUCAUAUGACAUAUACAUGGUGGAUACCCCAAAAGAUGGGGACGGCGAAGAAACAGCGGAGGCAGAUUCUUUAAAGAAACAGCCCAAGCGCCAGCAUCAGCAGCGCCGCUCUAAAUCCCGCCACAGCAAGAAUGGAGAUUCCGGCACAGGAGAUAAUAAUACCCUAGAAAGUGCCGAAGACAACCCCCUCCAGCAAGACUCAGCGCAGGAGGAUGCAGAAGCAAGCCCUCAGGAGAGGGCGGCGGACGAAGAGGUUGAGGAUUACAACUAUAUGCCUCCCUCCGAAGACAAGGCAAGCCUCAACGAUGACGAAUUCGUCGUGCCCGAGGAUCCCGUCGAACAAGAGCGUUUUAAACGCAGGCUUAUCGCCACGGCAAACAGCCUAAAGAAAAAGCAGCAGCAGCUUCAAGCUGAUCAGGACCUGCUGGCCGAUCGAUGGACCGAGGUCCUCGCGGCCGAAGAGUAUAAACUCGAACGCCCCUCCAAAAGCUAUCCAAGACGCAAGCUGCUCCCCCGAUUAGAGGAGGAAGCAUACAUACCUCCAUCACCAGCGCACGAUACGGCUGACCGACCACCCCGCGGUCGUGACAGAGAGGCAUCCAGGCCCCCAGCCAAGACCGUACCCCGGCAUCGCUCCAAAAGUACGAAGCCAAGAGGGAACGCGCCAGACUUGCGAGAUAUAUUGGAGGACAAAUCAAGGCAAUCCAGAUCCAUCUACGGAUCACGUGGGCACCACACGACCCAUGAAGAAUACCAUCGUACCGGAUAUAAUAACCCCGGCCGGGCCGAACACGGCAGACAGCGCUCUCUCGAGCUGCGUCAUGAUAUUGCUCAAUACAGAGGCGCCGCACACCCACUAUGCUUCACUGACGAAGUAAUGGAUCAUCAAAUCCCUGAAGGGUUUAAACUCGUAAACAUUGAAUCCUACGAUGGCACAACAGACCUCGCGGUUUGGAUAGAAGAUUAUCUUCUCCACAUCCAUAUGGCCCGCGGCGACGAUCUCCACGCCAUCAAGUAUCUCCCACUCAAGCUUAAAGGACCAGCUCGGCAUUGGCUUAACAGCUUGCCCGCAGAGUCAAUUGGGUGUUGGGAAGACCUGGAGGCCGCAUUCCUUGAUAACUUCCAAGGCACGUAUGUGCGACCACCAGAUGCCGAUGACCUAAGCCACAUCAUUCAGCAGCCAGACGAAUCGGCCAGACAAUUCUGGACACGGUUCUUGACGAAGAAAAAUCAAAUCGUCGACUGUCCGGAUGCAGAGGCCCUUGCAGCCUUCAAGCAUAACAUCCGCGACGAAUGGCUAGCCCGGCACCUGGGCCAGGAAAAGCUGAAAUAUAUGGCAGCCCUCACAUCAUUAAUGACCCGCUUCUGCGCGGGAGAGGAUAGCUGGCUAGCCCGCAGUAACAAUCUCCGCAAAAAUUCUGGCAGUCCGGACACUAAGGACAACAACGGCAGGUCACGUCGAAACAAAAACAAACGCCGCAUCGACGGCGACGACAAGGAGGAUACGGCAGUCAACGCCGGAUUCCGAGGCUCUAAACCCGAUCAACGAAAGAAGCCAUUCAAACGAACCACUCCGAGUCCGUCCAAUUUGGACCGAAUACUCGACCGCUUAUGCCAGAUACAUGGCACCCCUGAAAAACCAGCCAAUCACACUAAUAGAGAUUGCUGGGUGUUCAAACAGGCAGGCAAGUUAAUUGCCGAAAACAAUGACAAGGGGCUAAACAGCGAUGACGAGGAGGAGACCCGACCGCCGAACAGUAGAGGACAGAAGGGUUUUCCCCCACAAGUGCGGACGGUGAACAUGAUUUACGCAACCCAUAUACCCAAGAGGGAGAGGAAGCAUGCACUAAGGGACGUCUAUGCGAUGGAGCCAGUCGCCCCGAAGUUCAAUCCAUGGUCCUCUUGUCCGAUCACUUUCGAUCGAAGAGACCAUCCGACCAGCAUACACCAUGGCGGAUUCGCCGCAUUGGUUUUAGACCCAAUCGUCGAUGGAUUUCACCUCACGAGAGUCCUGAUGGACGGCGGUAGUAGCCUGAACCUGCUUUAUCAGGAUACAGUGCGCAAAAUGGGCGUAGACCCCUCAAGGAUUAAACCUACAAAGACAACCUUUAAAGGUGUCAUACCAGGUGUGGAAGCCAACUGUACAGGCUCAGUAACACUGGAAAUGGUCUUCGGAUCCCCGGACAAUUUCCGGAGCGAGGAGUUAAUCUUCGACAUAGUCCCGUUUCGCAGCGGCUAUCACGCUCUGCUCGGACGAACCGCGUUUGCAAAAUUCAACGCGGUGCCAGGCCCUCGUGGAGUCAUCACGGUCAACGGGAAUACGGAACGCUCCCUCCGAACGGAGGAACAUACAGCGGCCCUCGCGGCAGAAGUACAGAGCAGCCUCUUAAGGCAAUUCUCGGGUCCGGCCGUUAAAUGGCCGGAUACAGCAAAACGCGCCCGAAGCAAUACCAACCAAGACCACCUGGCGCGAUCAGAGCACGCGUAGCAAUGCGGCCCCGACCCCCGCCCGCGCAUGAUCGCAAGAAUAACACUCCGCGUACAUCAUUACGCUUUGGAGAUACCAUGGGCGCAGGGGAAGGGGCACGAUCGCAAUGGACCCAGAGUGUGGUUCGACCACACCAGGGGCUCGCAAGUGUGCCCCCCUUUUUUUAUUAUUAUUUUCCUUCUUUGUGUACACAGGACUCCGGUAACCAGAGGCCCUGUCCGGCGGCGAACCUGCCGAACUCGCGAUGCAACAGUCAGGGACGAAAGAAGGCUGCGACGAACACUCAGGUGGUCUCAAUUACGAGCAUUAAAUUCGAUUAUAUACACCAAGUCCGCAGCUCACCCCUGGAGGGGGACAUGUUUACUUAAGUCCAAAUCCCUUGCUUACCGCACUAUUUGUAUCAGUCCGCACUCAUAGCAGACUUCCUUUAAUAAAUAAUGCAGCACUUUUCAACUACAAUCAUGUCACCUUUUAUAUAUAUGUUCAUUACAUGACAUCUCGCACCCGUAUAUUUUGGUACGGCCGAAUACACCAGGGGCUUGUGUUCCCCGCAUUAUGGUGUGAUAAGUCCGAACACUUUCACAAGUGCGGCACCCCGAACUUAUAGCAUUAUAUGAAUCGGCUCCGAAUCAUGUCUUGGGUCAAUAGUUGGGUUUGCCCGGCUCCCACGUUUUGGUGCCUUACGUUCCGUUCUGUCGGCUAAGGUGGCACUGGGAGAACCACUGCGAUUGCGCCCCGGUUGAGCCGGGCGAGCGCCUCAGUGGAGAAAGCUAAAACUGACUGGCAUGAUAAGGCGAGAGACUGGUCGCUGUUCGAGAGGUUUUUUCGGGUCCUUAAAGACUCACGCCGCUUCGAGCGAAGUUCCGGACAAUGUCCGACGAAGGCGUGGAUAGCGCCCCGGGUUCGGCCUUCCGAAUACCAGGGGCUUCGCCGAAAUUUAAAAUUAUAUAAUUCUAUGGCUAAGUGAGAGUGUUCAAGCACUAUAAGUCCGGUUGCCUUGUUCGCUGUGUUGAGCGCCUCCCUAGAUGGACCCAAAAAUGGGAACAAGAGCGCUCAAGGUUAUCCCGAACACCCCAGCACUCGUGGCUUGGGGGCUGAAGCCAACGACUUGCCAUCUCUCAGAUUUUUACACGGCCGCACAAAAGGUAAUAUUUUAAAUUAAACAAGCGUUGCUUAAUGCGCACAUGAAUAAAGUUUCAGCGCAAAGGAUAAUACAUAACGAGGCUACUCAAAGAUUACAUUUCUGGGGCACUCAUCCGCAAUAUCGCGGGCUCCCUUUAGGAUAGUUUUAUAAUACAUUUCAGGCGUGCGAUACUCCUUACCCGGUGGCGGUGGGUCCGUGAGAAGCUUCUCCGCAUCCAACUUGCCCCAAUGCACCUUUGUGCGGGCAAGGGCCCGACGAGCACCUUCAAUACAGGUGGAGCGCUUGAUGACCUCCACCCAGGGGCAUGCAUCCACCAGCCGCCGCACGAGGCCAAAGUAGCUCCCAGGCAUGGCCUGUCCAGGCCACAGCCGGACUAUAAGGCCCUUCAUGGCCUCCUCAGCUACCUUGUGGAGUUCGACCAGCUGCUUCAGCUGGUCGCUUGGGGGCACCGGGUGUCCGGCCUCAGCAUACUGAGACUAGAAGACUUUUUCCGUCGAGCUCCCCUCCUCGCCACGAUAGAAUGCGGCGGCAUCGGAUGCACUACGCGGUAGAUCUGCAAACGCCCCUGGAGAGCUCCGAAUGCGGGUAAGUGUCAGGUAUUUUACAUUAACAUGCUUGCUUUGCAUGAAAAAUGCCUUACCCGCCGCUAUCUUCUUUACAUCUUCAAGCUCCUGAAGGGCCUUAUGGGCCUCGGCCUUGGCGGACUUGGCACUUUCGAGAGCCGAGGCAAGCUCGGACUCUUGAGUCUUGGAGUCGCGCUCCAAACUCUCAUGCUUCUCCAUGAGAGCCUGGAGCUCUUGCCGUACUUCCUCCACCCGUGCCUCCUGCUUCUCUCGCUCUUCCCGCUCCGCGGCCGCACUGCGUUCGGCCGCGGACACAGCCUCCUUUAGGGCUGCCACCUCGUUCGUGGCCCCUGCAAUACCCAUAUUAUCCUUGUUAAUUUUAUUGCAACCAAAAUCCUUUUCUGUAAGGUAACUAUUCAAAGUGGUGUGACUCACCUUCUUUGUCCUCGAGCUGCUUCUUGGCAUGGCCGAGCUCUUGCUCGGACCGCUCAAGAUCUUUCUUCAACACAUCGACCUCCGCCGAUAGUGCGGCAGAGGUCAGCAGCGCAGCCUGCAAACCCAUAUUGACAUAUUUUAAGCAACCCUGCGUAUAUCUUGUUAGAUCCUCAGUCCGGCUUUUCUUUCCGAACACCGAACUGAGCAUCAGGGGCUAGUGUCUAUGCGGUAUUACAUUACAUAAUUUUAACUUCUUACCUCAAAGCCUGUUAGAAGGCUGCUGCAGGCUUCGGUCAGCCUGCUUUUUGCGAGCUGAACAUUUUGAAUCACCGCACUCAUGAUAGUGCGGUGUUCUUCCUUGAUGGAGGCGCCUUUAAGCGCUUCCAGCAAGUUAUCCGGCGCCUCCGGUUGGACGGAGGUCGUCGGUGUCACGGUCUUGCCCUUCUUUCCAAGGGGCCGCUUGCCGGACUCUGGAACCACUGCAGGUUCCUAUGUAGAGCCCGGCGCAAAGUCCGGGAGGCUGCCUGACGGCGCCUCCGGAGCCUCCUCCUGAUGGGUCCCUCUCUGGGAUCCCACCUCGACGUCCUCGUCGGCGCGUGGGGUAGAGGCAGUCGAAGUGAAUCCACAUCCGACGGGGCCAACGACCCGCUCGAUGAAUCGGGGAGAUCGUCAUCGGCCGGACUACGGACAGAAUGCGGCAUUAAGGACACUACGCGACACGAAAGAAAUUGCAUAUAAAGGAUCCAGAUACUUACGAUCUUGCCGGACGCCUGGCCCUUGGAGGCCACUCAUCAUUGCCAACGGUGGUGUUGGCGAAACUGUCCGGGGGGAUAGUCCUCCCCCUCUUGGACCCUUCGGCCUCCCCUAUUGGGGAAGCCUUCCUCUUCUUCUCUCCCUCCUCCGGGAGAGAAUCCUCCUCCUCCUCUUCUUCUUCGGGGGAGGAGUCCACCUCGUCGUCAGACGCCUGAUUGCGGGAACUCUUUCGAGUCCCCGCGGCCACCUUCUUGGCCUUAUUCUCCGGCACCACGUGCGGUGCCGGAACCAGCAGCCUUGCUAAACGGGCGUUCUCUGGGUCUUCUGGCAUGGGAGCCGGGCUGAUAAGUAGCUUGGCCUUCUCCAUCCAUUCCUGUCAAAGGAAAAGACAAAAUGAAACCCCUCUAGAAUCAAUUUGAUUACCACAAGUGUCCCGUAAAGGGGUUGAAUCACUUACCUCGUCAGCCGGAUGCUGCGAGCGAAAUCCGCGAUCUUCUGUCGCGGAUGCGGGGGCUUCGGCGCCCUUAAACAGCACCCUCCAGGCGCCUUCGUAUGUCGUAUCGAAGAGCCCGCUUAGCGCCUGGUGCUGUUCCGGAUUGAACUCCCACAAAUUAAAUGCCCGUUCUUGGCAUGGGAGGAUCCGGCGGAUGAGCAUGACUUGGACCAUGUCGACGAGCCUAAGCUUACCGCUCACCAGCUUCUGGAUGCAGGCUCGGAGUCCCGUCAGCUCCUUCGGAUUGCCCCACAACAAGCCCUUCUCUUUCCAGGAGGUGAGCUGCGUGGGGACGCCAGAUCUAAACUCGGGGGCCGCCGCCGAUGUGGGCUUGCACGGCUCGGUAAUGUAGAACCACCCUGAUUGCCACCCCUUGACGGAGUCCACGAAGGCCCCUUUGAGCCAAAGGACGUUGGGCAACUUGCCCAACAUGGCGCCUCCGCAUUCCGCUUGCGUGCCCUUCACAACCUUCGGCUUGACGUUGAAGGUCUUGAGCCACAGGCCGAAAUGGGGCCGGAUGCAGAGGAAGGCCUCGCACACGACGAUAAACGCCGAGAUGUUGAGGAUGAAGUUCGGCGCCAGAUCGUGGAAAUCCAGGCCGUAGUAAAACAUGAUCCCCCGGACAAAUGGGUGCAGUGGAAGUCCCAGUCCGCGGAGGAAGUGGGGGAGGAAGACGACCCUCUCAUGGGGCCCAGGGGUAGGGAUGAGCUGCCCCUCGUCGGGCAGCCGAUGCGCGAUAUCGCCGGAAAGGUAUCCGGUGCUGCGCAGUUUGGUGAUGUGCUCCUCCUUAACGAUGGAGGCCAACCAUUUGCCUCCCGCUCCGGACAUAUUCGGAGAAGGUUGGGGCGAGAUGCGCAAGCUUGGGCGUUGGAGCUUGAGUACGCGGAGAUGGAUAAGCAAAGGAGGAAGAAGGCGUAGGUGAGAAGGUAAAUCCUUAUCCCUUAUAUAUAGGCGGACGAAAACUAUGCGUCCCCACCGGCCUGAUAAAACUCGCUUAUCUCCCAAGCGCCACCAUCAAUGGCGCGGUUGGGUUACCCAUAUCCGUAUUGAUGAGAAUCCCGGAAUAAGUGGAACACGAUCUCUGCUUCGACAAGACGUGCCAAGGAAACCGCUUCGCUAAACGUGCUGAGAUGGUAUAGUAAAAAACGAUUCAAACAAAGGCUUGGUAGCGGUGUGAUGUCACGCCGCAUAAUACGUCAGCAGAUUGGACUAGUGUACAUUUUAUUAUCUCUACGGGGGAAUGUGGAAUUUAUUUUGCAGAGCCGGACACUAUCCUGGUGUUCAUGAUCUUCUCAGGAUUAUUCAAGGAAGGAACCCGCCUUGCAAUGCCGAACAUUAUGCGCGCCGGACUUAUCGUCAUUGAAGCCUGGUUCAGGGGCUACUGAGGGAGUCCUGGACUAGGGGGUGUCCGGACAGCCGGACUAUCAUCGUCCGCCGGACUCCAAGACUACGAAGAUACAAGAUUGAAGACUCCGUCCCGUGUCCGGAUGGGACUUUCCUUGGCGUGGAAGGCAAGCUUGGCGAUACGGAUAUGUAGAUCUCCUACCAUUGUAACCGACUCUGUGUAACACUAGCCUCCCCCGGUGUCUAUAUAAACCGGAGGGCUUUAGUCCGUAGGACAACAUACAUUACAACAAUCAUACCAUAGGCUAGCUUUAGGGUUUAGCCUCCUUGAUCUCGUGGUAGAUCCACUCUUGUACUACCCAUAUCAUCAAUAUUAAUCAAGCAGGACGUAGGGUUUUGCCUCCAUCAAGAGGGCCCGAACCUGGGUAAAACAUCGUGUCCCUCGUCUCCUGUUACCAUCUGCCUAGACGCACAGUUCGGGACCCCCUACCCGAGAUCCGCCGGUUUUGACACCGACAACUCAUGCUUUUGAAAAUGAAACAGAAGGCUUGGGGUCUCCACAUGGAGGCUCAGUUUAAGGAUAUUGGCGGAAAUAUCUUUGUAUUCUGCUUUGGUGGUGAAGGAGAUGGGAACACCCGUUAAAUAAUGAAUCAUGGCAAUUUGACUUUAACAUUUUAGUGCUGAAGGAUCAUGAGGGGAAUACGAGGCCAUCUAAGAUGGUUUUUGAUAUUGUUGAAGUUUGGGUUCGAGUCAUGGACCUACCACCAGAUAAAUUCUUGGAAAAUUUUGGAAAGGCCCUUGGAAAUUUUCUUGGGGAGGUGAUCAAAGUAGAUGUGGAGAAAGAUGGUUUUGCAAGAGGAAAGCACCUCCGUGUUCAUGCAAGAUACCUUUAGAUGAGUUGCCAGUGAGGGAUUUAUUCUUAAGGUCUUCAUCGGAAGUCUAAAUUGGUAUUUUCUUUGAUUUAUCAUACAAGAAGAUUCCGCACUUCUGUUGAGAAUGUGGUCGGCUCGUUCAUUUAGAUGGUGUUUGUGAGCCACUGGUGAAAUCUAGCUCCCAAUGGGAGAAUGGUUGAGGGAUGCAUCUUUGGGCUUAAGGGUGGAUUCAAUAGGAUGGUGUCUAGCAACACCAACAAUUUUGGUAGCUCGAGGUCGAGUGAGACUAAGCAUGGGAGACACAUGUGUGCUACUAUCCGAGACCUUCCAACCAAGCAUAACCUACAUCGAGAGUUCAUGUCCUCUAGUACCUCUCGCACUGGCGGGGAGUAAAGGGUCGAAUAGGAGGAGGUCAGUAUCCUGAGUAAGUUCAAGCACAACCAGGGGAGAACAAAGAUACGGACUUGAGACAAUAUUUAGAGGAGAAAUGUGAAAGGGAGGUGAGGCAUGACCUGCACCAGCGACUUGCCCAGAGGAGCUUUGCAAAGUAAUAGUACAACAGCAAAGGGACCCCCGCCAAACACACACACGUUCUAGUUUGGAGGAUUUAGGGAGGAGAAGGAGAAGUACAUAUGUAUGCAGGUCGAGAUAGUUUCAUGGUGAACAACAACACAUGACCUCGGCUUAUAAAACUAAACCUGCAAAGAGAAAGAGAAUGCCUAAGCAGUUAUGGACCCAAAGGGAGAUUCAAAUAUGUAGAUUAUUCGUGAUGCGUUCAUUGGUGAUAAGAGGCAAAAAACGACUUUAUUAUUUGACCGUAUGCUUAACAAUAUUAAAAAAGAUUGGCAGACCUUGCCCGAUAGGGCAGCUGGGAGCAAUAAAUCUUCUAGCAUGGAACUGCCAGGGACUUGGGUUGGACUAGGCAGUUGGUGAAUUGUGUGACCUGAUUAGGUCUUACAAUCCAAUGAUGGCUUUCUUAAGCGAAACAAAAAAGUGCUUAGGUACAAUGGAGAAGGUUAAGUGUAGCACGGGUUUCAGGUAGGGUGUAGUUGUGGAUUGCGUGGGAUGGGGGGAGGAUUAGCACUCUGGUGGAGGGAUAACGUGCAAGUAUCAAUUAGGGCAUGGUGACAGUACUAUUUAGAUCCUUCUAUUUAUGUUGAGGGUAAAGCAUGUAGGUUCACUAGAAUCUACGGGGAGCCCUAUACUAAGUAGGGACAGAAAACAUGGGUAACGAUCCAUUACCUUAGGGAUCAACAUGACCUACCAUGGCUCUGUGCAGGAGACUUUAGUGAGGUUUUAUUUCAAUCAGAACAGCUAGGUGGGAACCCGAGAAGCUUUUGUGCAUAUGGAGGGAAUUAGGGAAUGCUUUUCCGACAAUGUCUUAGAAGACCUUGGAUUCUCAGGGUACCCGUAUAUGUGCGAUAACAAGAGAGAUGUGGAGGAGGACAUACAAGUCAGACUAGGCCGGGCCACAUGCAAUGAUGCCUUCAUGCAAAUGUUUCCGGAGACGUCGGUCGAGAAUGUUUCAAUGGAGGAACCGGAACAUGCAACACUAUUCAUUCGAGAUCCAGUGGCACCAGUCACUAGUAUUAAUACAGAGAGAAGGACUUUUAGGUUUGAAGAGAUGUAGACCCUACAUGACUAGUAUGACACCAUGGUGAAUGAAGCAUGCAUGUCAUCCGAGCAAUAGUGGUUUGAUAGGCCUGGAUGUAGUUUGCAAGAAAAUCAAUGUGGUCACAAGGGACAUGCGGGCUUGGAGUCCAGAGGUCUUUGGAUCAAUCAUGCGCCAAAUUGGGAAGCUCAAACAGUAGUUGUGUGGCGCAACGGAAAAGGCCACACAAACUGGUUACCUGUAGGAGGUAAGGGUGAUCGAACAAUAGCUCCAUGAUAUAUACAAGAGUGAGAGAGGAGGUGAUGUACAUGAAACACUGCCAGGGCAUCACAUAGGAAGAGGAAGAACACUGCUAGGGAUUUGUUGCGGGAGGAUGGGACCUGAUGCACCACCGACAAAGAGAUGAGGCACAUGGCUUCCAGCUUCUACAAGAAGUUGCCCACGUUGGAAGGGUCGAUGGAGUUCGGAGUGACUACUUCAAAAUUGAAGGAAUAGUCUUGGAAGAUAUGAAUGUGAUAUUGACAAGAGUCACCACAAAUGAAAAAUUGAGAGAGAAUUGUUCCAAAUGGGGCUGAAUAAAGCAGCCUCCAAAUGGCCUCCCACGAUGUUUUAUCAACGACACUAGCCAUUAAUAUGAGAGGAUGUUUGCAAUGUUGGGGAACGUAGUAUGCAAUUUCAAAAAAAAAUCCUACAGUCACGCAAGACCUAUCUGGGAGAUGCAUAGCAACAAGAGGGGGCGAGUGUGUCCAUGUACCCUCAUAGACCGAAAGCGGAAGCAUCAGCUAACGCAGUUGGUGUAGUCAAACGUCUUCACAAUCCGACCGAUCCAAGUACCGAACAUAUGGCACCUCCGUGUUCAGCACACGUUCAUCUCGAUGACGUCCCUCGAACUCUUGAUCCAGUAGAGGGUCGAGGGAGAGUUCUGUCAGCACGACGGUGUGGCGACGGUGUUGAUGAUGUGAUCCGCGCAGGGCUUUGCCUAAGCACUACAAUGCUAUGACCGGAGGUGUAAACUGUGGAGGGGGGCACCGCACACGGCAAAGAACAAUUGAUGUGUCUUUGGGGUGCCCCCAGCCCACAUAUAUAAAGGAGGAGAGGGAGGAGGCCGGCGGCCUAGAGGGGGCGCGCCUAGGGGGAGCCCAACUAGGAUUCCCAAUCCUAGUUGGUCUCCCUUUCCUAUUCCAAGAAGGGGAAGGAGGGAAGGAGAGUGAGAGAGAGAGAGGGAAAGAGGGGGCCGCACAAUUCGUACUCCCUUGGGGGGGCCACCCUGCGGGCUCCCCUCUCCUACUCCCUUAUGGCCCAUUAAGGCCCAUAACUUCGCCGGGGGGUUCCGGUAACCCCUCGGUUCCCCAAUAAAUAUCUGAAAUGUCCUGAAACCAUUCCGGUGUCCGAAUACCUUCAUCCAGUAUAUCAAUCUUUAUGUCUUGACCAUUUCAAUACUCCUAGUCAUGUCCGUGCUCUCAUCCAGGACUCCGAACAAACUUCGGUCAUCAAAAACAAAUAAAACUUAAUACAAAUCGUCAUCGAACAUUAAGCGUGCGGACCCUACGGGUUCGGGAAUUAUGUAGACAUAAUCAUCUUCGAUCAAUAACCAAUAGCAAAACCUAGAUGCUCAUAUUGGCUCCUACAUAUUCUACGAAGAUCUUUAUCGGUCAAACCGCACAACAACAUACGUUAUUCCCUUUGUCAUCGGUAUGUUACUUUCCCGAGAUUCGAUCGUUAGUAUCAUCAUAGUUCAAUCUCGUUGCCGGCAAGUCUCUUUACUCGUUCUGUAAUGCUUCAUCCUAUAACUAACUCAUUAGUCACAUUACUUUCAAGGCUUAUAGUGAUGAGCAUUAUCGAGAGGGCCCAGAGAUACCUCUCCGAUACACGGUGUGACAAAUCCUAUUCUUGAUCUAUGCCAACCCAACAAACACCUUCGGAGACACCUGUAGAGCAUCUUUAUAAUCACCCAGUUACGUUGUGACGUUUGAUAGAACACAAGGUGUUCCUCCGGUAUUCGGGAGUUGGAUAAUCUCAUAGUCAUAGGACCAUGUAUAAGUCAUGAAGAAAGCAGUAGCCAUAAAACUGUAACGAUCAUAAUGCUAAGCUAAUGGAUGGGUCUUGUCCAUCACAUCAUUCUCUAAUGAUGUGAUCCCGUUCAUCAAAUGACAACACAUGUCUAUGGUUAGGAAACAUAACCAUCUUUGAUUAACGAACUAGUCAAGUAGAGGCAUACUAGGGACAAUAUGUUUUAUCUAUGUAUUCACACAUGUACUAAGUUUUCGGUUAAUACAAUUCUAGCAUGAAUAAUAAACAUUUAUCAUGAUAUAAGCAAAUAUAAAUAACAACUUUAUUAUUGCCUCUAGGGCGUAUUUCCUUCAUGCAAGGUGGUCAAGGAUUUUCUUUCCGAAGUGGUGGAAGACAAUGCUUUUAUUGGCACAGUGAUUGUAAUGAUUACAAAAGUAAACUCACUGGAAUUCCUUUCCUAGUUUCCGUAAAUGCAUCUAGUGCCACCCCUAGUUGGUUUUGGAGUAUUGACGACAAACGUGGUUGAGGGACUAAUGUGUUUGUGAGAAUUGCACGAUAACAUAGGUAGUAGUCCCUCAUUGAUUCGGUUUACCUACUACAGAUGACCCCUAAAAAUGUGUGAAGACAUUGAAGACAAUGGUGGUUUGUGAAGACAUUCACGACGAAGAUUAUGACUUGUGAAGAUAUUCACUUGAAGACUAUGGAGUGCAACGACAUAGCUGUUUUGUAGUUUCCUUUAUUCUUUAUUGAGUCAAAGGAACCACCAUACUGUUAAGCGGGGUACAAGUGAACAAAGUUAGAGUGACUGAAGUGAUGCUCAACCAAAUCCUAUGUCUUCGAAUGAAGACAAUGAGAGCAAACCUUAUCCAGAGCUGGAUGGGUCAGCUUUGCUUGUUGCCCAAGCCAAGCUGCCGCGUGUGUUUGAAAUCUGACCGUUGGACACGUGUCAGUUCCUUAGUGACCCAGGGUCAUUUCGGACAUAUUAGGUCAGGUUGCCUCCUGGCUAUAAAUAGCCCACCUCCUACACCAUAAAUUGGUGGCUGCUAAGAGUUAGUGCACGGCUUUUGUCGUUUGAGAGCAACCCACCUCCGAAGCAUUUGAGACAGAGAUCCUCGCGAGGACAAAGCCCAAAACACCCAGAUCCAAAGAGUGUUAGGCAUCACUGAAGUCUUUCUAUCUACGUGAUCUGAAGACUUGUUACACUUGAGGACUAUGAAUCCUCCAGCCGGUUAGGCGUCACAUUCUGAGCAUCCAAGAGUCAUUGUGGAUUGCCGGUGAACGAAGUCUGUGAAGGUUUGGAAGUCUACCUCGAAGACUUACCAAAGUGAUUGGGUGAGGACUGGGUGUCCUUAGCUCAAGGAGAAUAAGGUGAAGACACAGUCUUCUGAGUUCAAUCUCAGCCUCCCUAACCAGACGUACAGUUGUCACAGCAACUGGAACUGGUCUACCAAAUCCUUGUCUUCACCAAGCAACUAGUUCUAUCCCCUACUCUCCUUACUUUACAGUUUGUCUUCCUGAAGUCAUUGCUUGCCUGCCUGAUUCAUUUGACUUCAUUGUGUGAAGACUUAUAUCUGUUUAGCUACGUACUAUCUUCCAUACUAAUCAUGUCUACCUAGUUGUAGUUAGUCUUCGUGCUUUAACUGUAUUGUAUGCUUGACUAAUGCUUGCCUAGUGUAGUCUUCAUUCCGCUUCUUACUAUAUAGGCUUAUUUUACUUGUUUGUCUUCAAAGCCACCGUGUUUUGAAGACUUUCAUUAAAAUCGCCUAUUCACCCCCCCCCCUCUAGUCAAUAACUAGCACUUUCAAUUGGUAUUAGAGCAAGGUACUCCCUUGUUCUGUGUGAUUCGGUUUAACCACCUAGAGUUUUAGCUAUGUCGACUGCAGGGAUAAUCAAGGUCUCCGUUGCGUGCCCCGUCUUUGAUGGCACUGACUACCCCUAUUGGAAGAACAAGAUGCGCAUGCAUCUUGAAGCCAUUGAUGUUGAUCUCUGGUAUGUCAUCAAGACUGGCAUUCUGAUACAUCUCCAACGUAUCUAUAAUUUUUUAUUGUUCCAUGCUAUUAUAUUAUCUGUUUUGGAUGUUUAAUGGGCUUUAUUAUACACUUUUAUGCUAUUUUUGGGACUAACCUAUUAACCGGAGGCCCAGUCCAAAUUGUUUUUUUUGCCUAUUUCAGUGUUUUGCAGAAAAGGAAUAUCAAACAGAGUCCAAAUGGAAUGAAACCUUCGGGAGAGUCGUUUUUGGAACAAGCACAAUCCAGGAGACUUGGAGUGGACGUCAAGGAAGCAAUAAGGCCGCCACGAGGCAGGGAGGCGCGCCCCCCACCCUCAUGGGCCCCUCGUGGCUCCCCUGACCGACUUCUUUCUCCUAUGUAUAUACUCAUAUACCCUGAAAACAUCCGAGAGCACCACAAAACCCUAUUUCCACCGCCGCAACCUUCUGUACCCAUGAGAUCCCAUCUUGGGGCCUUUUUUGGCGCUCCGCCGGAGGGGGAAUCGAUCACGGAGGGCUUCUACAUCAACACCACAGCCUCUCCGAUGAUGUGUGAGUAGUUUACCUCAGACCUUCGGGUCCAUAGUUAUUAGCUAGAUGGCUUCUUCUCUCUCUUUGGAUCUCAAUACAAAGUUCUCCUCGAUCUUCUUGGAGAUCUAUUCGAUGUAAUUCUUUCUACGGUGUGUUUGUCGAGAUUCGAUGAAUUGUGGGUUUAUGAUCAAGAUUAUCUAUGAACAAUAUUUGAAUCUCCUCUGGAUUCUUUUAUGUAUGAUUUGCUAUCUUUGCAAGUCUCUUCGAAUUAUCAGUUUGGUUUGGCCUACUAGAUUGAUCUUUCUUGAAAUGGGAGAAGUGCUUAGCUUUGGGUUCAAUCUUGCGGUGUCCUUUCCCAGUGACAGCAGGGGCAGCAAGGCACGUAUUGUAUUGUUGCCAUCGAGGAUAAAAAUAUGGGGUUUAUAUCAUAUUGCUUGAGUUUAUCCCUCUACAUCAUGUCAUCUUGCCUAAUGCGUUACUCUGCUCUUAUGAACUUAAUACUCUAGAUGCAUGCUGGAUAGCGGUCGAUGUGUGGAGUAAUAGUAGUAGAUGCAGAAUCGUUUCGAUCUACUUGUCGCGGACGUGAUGCCUAUAUAAAUGAUCAUGCCUAGAUAUUCUCAUAACUAUGCACUUUUCUAUCAAUUGCUCGACAGUAAUUUGUUCACCCACCAUACUACUUAUGCUAUCUUGAGAGAAGCCACUAGUGAAACCUAUGGCCCCUGGGUCUAUUUUCCAUCAUAUAAGUUUCUGAUCUAUUUUAUUUUGCAAUCUUUACUUUCCAGUCUAUAUCAUAAAAAUACCAAAAAUAUUUAUCUUAUUAUCUCUAUCAGAUCUCACUUUUGCAAGUGGCCGUGAAGGGAUUGACAACCCAUUUAUCGCGUUGGUUCCAAGGUUCUUAUUUGUUUGUGCAGGUACGAGGGAUUUGAGUGUAGCCUCCUACUGGAUUGAUACCUUGGUUCUCAAAAACUGAGGGAAAUACUUACGCUACUUUGCUGCAUCACCCUUUCCUCUUCAAGGGAAAACCAACACAUGCUCAAGAGGUAGCAUGUUCCCAAAGUCAGUGAAGGCGUCACCGCUGCUGAUGUCAAGGGAUUUGCGCAAUUGGACUCAACCGCCAAGAACACCAUCUGUGGUCAUCUGACCAAAGGCAGUAUGGUCGUGUGAGUGCACUGGAAACUGCAAAGCUGGUCUGGGACUGGCUGUCCAAGGUCAAUGAAGGCGUCUCAACUCAGAUAGAUUCAAGAAUCGAUGUUCUUCGCAAUCUCUUCAACCACUUGAAGAGAAAUGACAAUGAAAAUGUCCAGCUCACGUUCAAUCGCUUGACUGAUAUCACCAAUGAGCUUCGUGCUCUCGACGCCACUGAAAUCACCAAGCAUGAGAUCGUGAAGAAGCUUCUGAGAUCACUUGAUAGCUCGUUUGACACCUUAGCCCUGAUGAUACAAGAACGUCCCGACUUCAAAGAUCUCGAUCCGUCUGACAUACUUGAGAGGCUCAACACACAUGAGUUCCAGCUAUCUGAGAAGCGUGACAUCUAUGGUCCUAACUAUGGCCGAACUCGUGCCCUGAAGGCAAAAGUUGUUUCCUCACCUGAAGAAGAAUUUGAAUGUAGCUCUAGUGAUCCUGAAGAUCUUGGCAAAGAUCUUUCAAUGCUUGUGAGGAAGUUCCAGAAGUUCUCCAAGAAGAAUCGGUUCAGCAAGUCUUCAAGAUCUAGCUCAAAGAACGACGAAGCUUCAUCACGUGAAUACAAGAAUAGAACUUGCCACAAAUGCAAGAAGAUAUGCCACUACAUCUUUGAGUGUCCUCGGUGGGAUAAGGAAUCGAACAAGAAGAAGAAGAGCAAGGAAUAUGAUUCUCAUGACAAGAAGAAGAAGAAAUCAUCAAAAUCGUCUUCAAAGUCUUCGUCAAAGUCUUCAUCUCACAAGAAGACCUCAUCAAGCAAGGCUCGUGCAUUUAUUGGCAACGAGAUGGAUUCAGAGGAGGAGUCUGCCUUUGAGGAGGCAGAGGUGGAGUCCCAGGAGGAGUCUGAUUCAGGCGUGGCAAGCCUGGCUCUGGCGUCAGCGUUUGUCGCUAAGUCAAUCUUCAACACUGAAGACAAUGGUCACAACGUUCAAGCCAAAGUUGACGAUGAUGAUGAUGACGACUCUGCUCCAACCUACUACUUCAUGGCACGUGGUGCCAAGGGAAAGGCCUCCAGCCAGAAAGCAAAAUCUUCUGACGACAAUGCUGGAGACCUAAAACAUCUUGUGGGACGCAAGAUAAAAUGCUCCAAUGGUCUUAUCAUGUAUUUCGUCCAAGGGUUCCUUGAUGAGCAUCCUAUCAUGCCUAAUCAGAAUUUAAACUUUGAUAAUAUGCUUGUUCACUACAUGUUUCUGCUUCACAAUACUCUUGGUGAAGCCUAUCCCGCUAACUGCACUGUAGGGUACAACUCCGAAAGCCACUGAAUGGAUCAUGGACAGCGGCUGCACCAACCACAUGACUGGUGAUCGAAGUCUUCUUAUGGAUUCAACCCUGCGUCCAUCUACUAAGAGCCACAUCAUAUUUGCUGACACUGGUAAAAGCAAGGUAUUGGGUCUUGGUAGAGUUGCUAUCUCAAAGGAUCAACACAUGGAUGAAGUGAUGCUUGUUGAAUCCCUUGGAUACAUCUUAAUGUCUGUGUCAAUGCUCUGUGAUCUGAACAUGAUUGUGAUAUUUGGAAAAUAUCAUUGUCUUGUGCUAAUGGAAUCUGACAAAUCUCAAAGAGGUGAUUUGUAUAUGGUAGAUUUCUCAGUAGGACCACAGCUUGUCGUAUGUCUUCUAGCAAAGGCUUCAGAAUGCUGGCUAUAGCAUCGACGGCUAGGACAUGCGGGCAUGAGGAACCUAUACACUCUCGCGAAGAAGAAGCACAUCAUUGCCAUCGAGGGCGUCAAGUUCAAGAAGGAUCAUCUAUGUGGUGCAUGUGAAGCUAGAAAGAUGACUAGAGCCAAGCAUCCCUCGAAGACAAUCAUGACUACCUCACGUCCCUUCGAGCUGCUUCACAUGGACCUAUUUGGCCCUACUCACUACUCUACACUUACUACUACUUCACAUCUCUAUGGCUUCGUUAUUUUGAUGAUUACUCGAGAUACACCUAGGUACACAUAAUUCUCUAUAAGAUUGAAGUGCAGGAUGUCUUCAGACGCUUCGCAAAUUGCGCUACGACGAAUUAUGGCAUCAAGAUCAAGCACAUCCAGAGUGACAAUGGCACUGAGUUCAAGAACGUUGGCCUCGACACUUAUUUUGAUACUUUGGGCAUCACACAUGAGUUCUCUGCUCCUUACACACCUCAGUAGAAUGGCGUCGUGGAGCGCAAGAACAGAACGCUCAUUGAGAUGGCACGGACGAUGCUCGAUGAAUACAAGACUCCAAGAAAAUUCUGGCCCGAAGCCAAUGACACUGCAUGCCACAUCAUCAAUAGAGUAUAUCUUCACAAGUUCUUCAAGAAAACAUCUUCUGAACUUCUGACUGGUAAGAAGAAAAAUGUCAGUUACUUCAAAGUCUUUGGUGCUAGGUGCUGGAUCAAGGAUCCACAUCACACGUCUAAAUUCGCAUCGAAAGCACAUGAAGGUUUUAUGCUUGGUUACGGAAAGGACUCGCACACCUACGGAGUCUUCAAUCUCUUUCACUACAAAGUGGUUCAAACUGUAGAUGUGUGGUUCGAUGAAACUAAUAGCUUGAGAGAGCACCUGCCAAAUGUGCUAGAUGAAGCUACACGAGGUGAAGCUAUCAAGCUAAUGGGUAUUGGAGAAAUCAUACCACCGAGGAACAGGUUGAGGAUGAGAUCAUCAUUUCUGCACCAAAUCAACAUGAAGACAAUGGUCAGUCUGAAGCCAAUGCUGAAGACGAAUACAAUAGUCAGUCUGAUCAAAAUCUUCGUCCUGCUCAUCCUCGAGUCGCCAAUGAAGUCCAGAUUGAGAAGAUAAUUGAUAGCAUUAAUGCUCCUGGUCCUCUCACUCAAUCAAGAGCUACACAACUAGCAAACUUCUGCGGUCACUUUGCUUUUGUCUCUAUAUAUGAACCCAAGAAAGUCAAAGAAGCCUUCAUGGAACCUGAAUGGAUUCAAGCUAUGCAAGAAGAGCUUCAACAGUUUGAGCUGAAUAAUGUCUGGGAGCUUGUCAAACGUCCUGAUCCUCACAAGCACAACAUCAUUUGCACGAAAUGGAUCUAUAGCAACAAACAAGAUGAACUUGGUCAAGUUGUCAGAAACAAGGCUCUCCUUGUAGCUCAAGGUUACACACAAGUGGAAGGAAUUGACUUCGAUGAAACCUUUGCUCCCAUGGCUAGGCUUGAAGCCAUUCGAAUAUUGUUGGCCUAUGCUAACCAUCACAACGUUAUUCUGUACCAAAUGGAUGUGAAGAGUGCCUUUCUCAACGGCAAAAUCGAAGAAAAAGUGUAUGUCGCUCAACCGCCUGGUUUCGAAGAUCCUAAGCAUCCUAAUAUGGUGUACAAUCUCAACAAGGCACUAUAUGGCCUCAAACAAGCACCUUGCGCUUGGUAUGACACACUCAAAGAAUUCCUAAAGAGCAAAGGCUUCAAACCUAGUUCUCUAGAUCCCACUCUCUUCACGAAGACAUAUGAUGGUGAACUGUUUGUGUGUCAAAUAUAUGUGUAUGACAUUAUCUUCGAAUGCAUCGAUAAGAGAUAUAGUGAUGAGUUUGGAUACAUGAUGCAAGAGCAAUAUCAGAUGUCCAUGAUGGGAGAGCUAAAGUUCUUCCUUGGUCUUCAAAUCCGUCAACAGCACAAUGGCAUCUUUAUAUCACAAGAAAAAUACCUUAAAUAUUUCCUGAAAAAGUUUGGAAUGCAAGACUACAAAGGGUACACGACGCCAAUGCCAACCAAAAGUCAUCUUGGCCCUGAUCGACAAUGGUAAAGAGUUUGAUCAAAAGGUAUACCGCUUCAUGAUUGGUUCUUUGCUAUACUUAUGUGCAUCUAGGCCUGAUAUUAUGCUUUGCAUUUGCAUGUGUGCCCGAUUCCAAGCAGCACCAAAGGAAUCGCAUCACCUUGUUGUGAAGCGAAUUCUUCGAUAUCUGGAUCACACCCCGACACUAGGAUUAUGGUAUGCAAAGGGCUCAUCGUUUGAUCUAGUUGGAUACUCUGAUGUUGAUUAUGCUGGUGACAAGGUUGAUCGCAAGUCUACAUCAGGCACAUGUCACUUUCUUGGACGAUCUCUUGUUUGUUGGUCUUCAAAGAAGCAGAACUGUGUAUCCCUCUCCGCCACUGAAUCUGAAUACAUUGCUGCUAGAUCUUGCUAUGCUCAGCUUCUCUGGAUGAAGCAAACUCUCAGGGACUACGGCAUCAACACAAAGAAUGUGCCACUCUUCUGCGACAAUGAAAGCACCAUCAAGAUUGCCAAGAAUCCAGUUCAGCACUCAAAGACAAAGCACAUUGAGAUUUGUUAUCACUUUCUCAGAGAUCAUAUCAAAAAGGAAGACAUUGAUAUCAUUCACGUCAACACUGAAGAGCAACUGGCAUACAUCUUCACUAAGCCCUUGGAUGAGAAGAGGUUUUGCAAGCUGCGGUGUGAGAUAAAUAUCUUAGAAUCCUCAAAUGUCCAGUGAAUGGACACACAUCCUAACACUUAUGCAUGUUGAUGACUUAGAUGUGCAACACACAAAGUAAUGUAUUUCUUCAAUCAAUGAAGACUUACCCUCUGAGUGUGAAUACAUUAAUGUGGGAUUUGACUUCGGAGCGCCACGAUAAUCUUGCGCCGUGUCUGGGUCUAAUACUUCCUAUACGGUGGGUAACACCACCACCACACCUUCUUGAAGAUUUUCAUUUGGCAUCACGAUUGCAUUAUCUUCACAUUUGGAUUGUCUUCAACAUUGAUUUAUCUUCAAAAUCUAUAUCUUCGCAAUGUUGAUUUAUCUUCAAUACUAUAUAUGUGUGUGUUUUGUCCUCUACAACAUUCACUUAUAGCUAUGUCUUCACAUUGCUAUUUUUCUGACCUAAGUGAAUGUGAUCGGACCCUAAUCCCUUCUGUGCUACUCCCUCAAAUUUUGUGUGUCUAAGUCAUAUGCAUUCUGUUGACACUUGUCGAAUAUCUUCUUUGUGUCCUGAUACGUCUCCAACGUAUCUAUAAUUUUUGAUUGCUCCAUGCUACUUUAUCUACUGUUUUAGGCAAUAUUGGGCUUUACUAUCCACUUUUAUAUUAUUUUUGGGACUAACCUGUUAACCGGAGGCCCAGCCCAGAUUUGCUGUUUUAUGCCUAUUUCAGUGUUUCGAGGAAAAGGAAUAUCAGACGGAGUCAAAAUGGAACGAAAUCAACUGGAGAAGUUAAUUUUGGAAGGAAACCAAUCCGUUGGGCUUGGAGUGCACGUCAGGGGAUUCCCGGGCUGCCCACGAGGGUGGGGGCACGCCCCUCCCCCUGGGCGCGCCCCCCUACCUCGUGAGCCCCCCGGAGGUCCACCGACGUACCCCCUGCACCCAUAUAUACCUACGUACCCUAAAACUUCUAGAACAGAAGAUAGAUCGGGAGUUCCGCCGCCGCAAGUCUCUGUAGCCACCAAAAACCUCUCGGGAGCCCUUUCUGGCGCCCUGCCGUGGGGAUCCCAUCACCGGUGGCCAUCUUCAUCAUCCCGGCGCUAUCCAUGACGAGGAGGGAGUAGUUCACCCUCUGGGCUGAGGGUAUGUACCAGUAGCUAUGUGUUUGAUCUCUCUCUCUCGUGUUCUUGAGGUGAUACGAUCUUGAUGUAUCCCGAGCUUUGCUAUUGUAGUUGGAUCUUAUGAUGUUUCUCCCCCUCUACUCUCUUGUGAUGAAUUGAGUUUCCCUUUGAAGUUAUCUUAUCGGAUUGAGUCUUUUAUGAACACUUGAUGUAUGUCUUGCGUGGGAUAACCGUGGUGACAAUGGGUUAUUCUAUUGAUCCACUUGAUGUAUGUUUUGGUGAUCAACUUGCGGGUUUCGUGACACUUGGGAACCUAUGCAUAGGGGUUGGCACACGUUCUUGACUCUCCGGUAGUAGCUUUGGGGCACUUUUUGAAGUGCUUUUAUGUUGGUUGGAUGAAUCUAAGAUUGUGUGAUGCAUAUCGUAUAAUCAUGCCCACGGAUACUUGAGGUGACAAUGGAGUAUCUUGGUGACAUUAGGGUUUUGGUUGAUUUGUAUCUUAAGGUGUUAUUCUAGUACGAACUCUUUUAUAGAUCGAUCCGAAAGAAUAGCUUUGUGGUGGUUUCGUACCCGACCAUAAUCUCUACGUUUGUUCUCCGCUAUUAGUGGCGUUGGAGUGACUCUUUGUUGCAUGUUGAGGGCUUGUCAUAUGUUCUAUCUAUGUUAUUAUUGUUGAGAGAACUUACACUAGUGAAAGUAUGAACCCUAGGCCUUGUUUCCUAUCAUUGCAAUACCGUUUACGCUCACUUUUACCGCUUGUUACCUUGCUAUUUUUAUUAUUUCAGAUUACAGAAACCUAUAUCUACUAUCUAUUUUGCACUUGUAUCACCAUCUCUUCGCCGAACUAGUGCACCUAUACAAUUUACCAUUGUAUUGGGUGUGUUGGGGACACAAGAGACUCUUUGUUAUUUGGUUGCAGGGUUGCUUGAGAGAGACCAUCUUCAUCCUACGCCUCCUAUGGAUUGAUAAACCUUAGGUCAUCCACUUGAGGGAAAUUUGCUACUGUCCUACAAACCUGUGCACUUGCAGGCCCAACAACGUCUACAAGAAGAAGGUUGUGUAGUAGACAUCAAACUCUUUUCUGGCGCCGUUGCCGGGGAGGCUAGGUAAAGGGUACUCACACUCCGUCACUAAGCUCUUUUCUGGCGAGGUGAGUGCUUGAAGGUAUAUCUUUAGAUCUUGCAAUCGAAUCUUUUUGUUUCUUGUUUUAUCACUAGUCUAGUUUAUAAAAGAAAAUUAUAAAAAUAAUAAUAAAUGGAAUUGAGUUUGUCUCAUACGCUUCACCUUUUAAUAUCUUUCAUGAGUAUGAUGGAAAAGAAAAUUGUGCUCAAGUGCUAGAAGAAGAAUUACAUAGAAUUCUUGGCAUGAAAUAUGUGAAUGAUGAGCAUGAUUGCAAUGUUGUUAGUACGAAUUCCUUGAAUAUCCAUGAUGCUAAUGAUAUGCAAAGCCACAAGCUUGGGGAAGCUAUGUUUGAUGAAGAUGAUAUUUUUUGUCCCCCAAGUUUUGAUGAGCAAAUUUACUAUGAUGAAAGCAUGCCUCCUAUCUAUGAUGAUUAUUGUGAUGAUACGUAUGCCAUAAAGAAGAAUUUUGCUUAUGUGGAGAGUAGUAAAUUUUCUAUGCUUGUAGGUCAUGAAAAGAAUGCUUUAGGUGCUGGUUAUCUUGUUGAAUUCAUUCAUGAUGCUACUGAAAAUUAUUAUGAGGGAGGAACAUAUACUUGUAGGAAUUGCAAUAAUGCCAAAUUUCCUCUCUAUGCGCUUAAAUUUUUGAAGUUAUGCUUGUUUAGCCUUCCUAUGCUUGUUGAUUAUUGUUCCCAUAAGUUGUUUGCUCACAAAAUCCCUAUGCAUAGGAAGUGGGUUAGACUUAAAUGUGCUAGUCAUAUGCUUCAUGAUGCUCCCGUUAUGUUUCAAUUCUUAUCUUUUAUGUGAGCAUCAUUGUCAUCAUCAUGCCUAGCUAGAAAGGCAUUAAAGAAAAACGCUUGUUGGGAGACAACCCAAUAUGUAUCCCUACUGUUUUUGUGUGUAAACAUGAUUAUGCUACUGUAGUAAUCAUGUUUUAUAGCUUUUGUUUCAAUAAAGUGCCAAGUAGAACCUUUGGGAAGACUUGGGUGAAGUUUAUGUGAUCUUGCUGUGAAAAACAGAAACUUUAGCGCUCACGAGAAUAGCUGCCAUUUUUUAAUGGGGAGUGCUUUUAGGUUGAUUCUUUUUGCAGAUGAUUAAUAGACAAAUUUCUCAGGUCCAGAAAUUUAUUUCAUAAUUUGUGGGGUUCCAGAAGUAUACGUUUUAUAUAUAUUACUACAGACUGUUCUGUUUUUGACAGAUUCUGUUUUCUAUGUGUUGUUUGCUUAUUUUGAUGAAUCUAUGAGUAGUAUCGGAGGGUAUGAACCAUAGAUAAGUUGGAGUACAGUAGAUAUUACACCAAUAUGAAUUUAUAAUGAGUUCAUUAUAGUACCUAAGUGGUGGUUUUAUUUUCUUAUACUAACGGAGCUUACGAGUUUUGUUUUGAGUUUUGUGUGGUUGAAGUUUUCAAGUUUUGGGUAAGGAUUCGAUGGACUAUGGAAUAAGGAGUGGCAAGAGCCUAAGCUUGGGGAUGCCCAUGGCACCCCAAGGUAAUAUUCAAGGACAACCAAGCAACUAAGCUUGGGGAUGCCCCGGAUGGCAUCCCCUCUUUCGUCUUCGUUCAUCGGUAACUUUACUUGGAGCUAUAUUUUUAUUCACCACAUGAUAUGUGUUUUGCUUGGAGCGUCAUUUUAUUUUGUUAGUAUUUGCUUGCUGUCAGUUAGAAUUGUGUUUUGCCUCUUUAGUUUCAAUAAAAAAAGUCAAGGAUAGACUUUGCCAUGCUUAUUUUGCUAGUUUGCAUGUUGCUGUUUGAAAACAGAAAGUUUACCGCUGUUGCAAAAAUUCCCUAGAAAAGUCAGAGCAUGGUCUAAUGUUGAAUCUUUUUUCAUAUUGAGCUAUGAUAAAUUUAUUACAGCGGGAAUUUUAGUUCAUAAUUUUUGGAGUCAGGGAAGUAUUGAUACUCUUGCAUUCUUUACAGACUGUACUGUUUUGACAGAUUGCUGUUAUGGUUGCAUUGUUUGCAUAUGUUUGUUUGUUUAAUGAUUCUAUUUGAGGAUAGGAGUAUUAAAUAUACAGAGGCAUUUAGUAUGCAAUGUUGAAUAAUAAUUUUAGUGAUUUGUUACAAUAUAAAAUGAUAAGGUUUUGCAUUGGUUUAUACUAACCUAUCUCACGAGUUCUUGUUGAGUUUGUUGUGAAUGAAGCUUUUGAUAAAAAGAGAAACCAUGAUAUGAGAGGAAUUAAGGAGACACAAAAGUUCAAGCUUGGGGAUGACCAAGGCACCCCAAGAUAAUAUUUCAAGAAGUCUCAAGCAUCUAAGCUUGGGGAUGCCCCGGUAGGCAUCCCACCUUUCUUCUUCAACAACUAUCGGUUAGUAUCGGUUGAGCCUAAGUUUUUGCUUCUUCACAUGAGUUGUGCUAUCCUUGCAAUGUAGUUUUCUUUAGCUUUGCUUGCUGUUUGAAUGAAGUAUCAAGAUCUAAAAUUAUUAAAUGAGAGAGAGUCUUCGCAUAGUUGCAAAAUUAUUUAGCUACUCAUUGAUCUUCACUUAUAUCUUUCGGGGUAGUUUUUGUUAUUGCUCUAGUGUUUCACUUAGAUCUUUUAGAGCAUGGUGGUGGCUUUGUUUUAAAGAAACUAUUGAUCUCUCAUGCUUCACUUAGAUUAUUUUGAGAGUCGUUAAUAGCAUGGUAAUUUUCUUAAUGUUAAUAUACUUGGUGUUCAAGAUAUGUGAAACUUUCUUUUGAGUGCGUUGAAUACUAAGAAAAGUUUGAUGCUUGAUAAUUGUUUUGAGAUAUGGAGGUGAUAAUAUCAAAGUCGUGCUAGUUGGGUGAUUAUGAAUUUGAAGAAUGCUUGUGUUGAAGUUUGCAAGUCCCGUAGCAUGCACGUAUGGUUAAAGUUGUGUAACAAAUUUGAAACAUGAAGUGUACCUGGCUUGUGCAUCCUUAUGAGUGGCGGUCGGGGAUGAGCGAUGGUCUUUUCCUACCAAUCUAUCCCCCUAGGAGCAUGCACGUAGUACUUGAUUUUUGAUGGCUUCUAAAUUCUUGCAAUAAGUAUAUGAGUUCUUUUGACUAAUGUUGAGUCCAUGGAUUAUACGCACUCUCACCUUUCCGCCUUUGCGAGCCUCUUUGGUACUGUGCUUCGCCCUCUCUCACCUUGAGAGUUGGUGCAAACUUCACCGGUGCAUCCAAACCCCGUGAUACGAUACGCUCUAUCACACAUAAAACUCCUUAUAUCUUCCUCAAAACAGCCACCAUACCUACCUAUCAUGGCAUUUCCAUAGCCAUUCCGAGAUAUAUUGCCAUGCAACUUUCCACCGUUCCGUUCAUCAUCAUCAUGACAUGCAUUACUUUUGUCAUAUUGCCAUUGCAUGAUCCUGUAGUUGACAUCGUAUUUGUGGCAAAGCCACCAUGCAUUAUUUUUCAUACAUGUCACUCUUGAUUCAUUGCACCAUCCCGGUACACCGCCGGAGGCAUUCAUAUAGAGUCAUAUCUUGUUCUAGUAUCGAGUUGUAAUUCAUAUGUUGUAAUGAAAGUGUGAUGAUCAUCAUUAGAGCAUUGCCCAAAUAAAAAAAGAAAGGCCAAAAAAAAGAAAGGCCCAAAAAAAGAGAAAGGCCAAAAAAAAGGGAAGGCCCAAAAAAAAGAAAAAGAAAAUAAAUAAAAAGGGCAAUGCUACUUUUUUUCCACACUUGUGCUUCAAAGUAGUACCUUGUUCUUCAUAUAGUGAGUCUCAUAUAUUGUGCUUCAAAGUAGCACCAUGUUUUUCAUAUAGUGAGUCUCAUAAGUUGUCUUGUUCAUACUAGUGGGAAUUUUUCAUUAUAGAACUUGGCUUGUAUAUUCCUACAAUGGGCUUCCUCAAAUGCCCUAGGUCUUCAUGAGCAAGCGAGUUGGAUGCACACCCACUAGUUUUCUUUUGUUGAGCAUUCAUAGCUCUAGUGCAUCCGUUGCAUGGUAAUCCCUACUCCUCAUGUUGACAUUAAUUGAUGGGCAUAUCCAUAGCCCGUUGAUUAGCCUCGUCAAUGUGAGACUUUCUCCUUUUUUUGUCUUCUCCACACAAUCCCCAUCAUCAUAUUCUAUUCCACCCAUAGUGCUAUAUCCAUGGCUCACGCUCAUGUAUUGCGUGAAGGUUGAAAAAGUUUGAGAUUAUUUAAGUAUGAAACAAUUGCUUGGCUUGUCAUCGGGGGUAUAGAAGUUGGGAACAUCUUUGUGUGACGAAAAUGAAGCAUAGCCUAACUAUAUGAUUUUGUAGGGAUGAACUUUCUUUUGCCAUAUUAUUUUGAGAAGACAUGAUUGCUUUGAUUAGUAUGCUUGAAGUAUUAUUAUUUUUGUGUCAAUAUGAACUUUUGUCUUGAAUCUUUCGGAUCUGAAUAUUCUUAUCACAAUUAAGAAGAUUUACAUUGAAAUUAUGCCAAAGUAUCACUCCGCAUCAAAAAUUCUUUUUUAUCAUUUACCUACUCGAGGACGAGCAGGAAUUAAGCUUGGGGAUGCUUGAUACGUCUCCAAUGUAUCUAUAAUUUUUGAUUGCUCCAUGCUACUUUAUCUACUGCUUUAGGCAAUAUUGGGCUUUAUUAUCUACUUUUAUAUUAUUUUUGGGACUAACCUAUUAACCGGAGGCCCAGCCCAGAUUUGCUGUUUUAUGCCUAUUUCAGUGUUUCGAGGAAAAGGAAUAUCAGACGGAGUCAAAACGGAACGAAAUCAACUGGAGAAGUUAAUUUUGGAAGGAAACCAAUCUGUUGGGCUUGGAGUGCACGUCAGGGGAUUCCCGAGCUGCCCACGAGGGUGGGGGGCGCGCCCCUCCCCCCUGGGCGUGCCCCCCUACCUCGUGAGCCCCCCGGAGGUCCACCGACGUACCCCCUGCACCCAUAUAUACCUACGUACCCUAAAACUUCCAGAAUAGAAGAUAGAUUGGGAGUUCCGCCACCGCAAGUCUCUGUAGCCACCAAAAACCUCUCGGGAGCCCUUUCCGGCGCCCUGCCGGGGGGGAUCCCAUCACCGGUGGCCAUCUUCAUCAUCCCGGCGCUAUCCAUGACGAGGAGGGAGUAGUUCACCCUCGGGGCUGAGGGUAUGUACCAGUAGCUAUGUGUUUGAUCUCUCUCUCUCGUGUUCUUGAGGUGAUACGAUCUUGAUGUAUCCCGAGCUUUGCUAUUGUAGUUGGAUCUUAUGAUGUUUCUCCCCCUCUACUCUCUUGUGAUAAAUUGAGUUUCCCCUUUGAAGUUAUCUUAUCGGAUUGAGUCUUUUAUGAACACUUGAUGUAUGUCUUGCGUGGGAUAACCGUGGUGACAAUGGGUUAUUCUAUUGAUCCACUUGAUGUAUGUUUUGGUGAUCAACUUGCAGGUUUCAUGACACUUGGGAACCUAUGCAUAGGGGUUGGCACACGUUUUUGACUCUCCGGUAGUAGCUUUGGGGCACUUUUUGAAGUGCUUUUAUGUUGGUUGGAUGAAUCUGAGAUUGUGUGAUGCAUAUCGUAUAAUCAUGCCCACGGAUACUUGAGGUGACAAUGGAGUAUCUAGGUGACAUUAGGGUUUUGGUUGAUUUGUGUCUUAAGGUGUUAUUAUAGUACGAACUCUUUUAUAGAUCGAUCCGAAAGAAUAGAUUUGUGGUGGUUUCGUACCCGACCAUAAUCUCUACGUUUGUUCUCCGCUAUUAGUGGCUUUGGAGUGACUCUUUGUUGCAUGUUGAGGGCUUGUCAUAUGUUUUAUCUAUGUUAUUAUUGUUGAGAGAACUUACACUAGUGAAAGUAUGAACCCUAGGCCUUGUUUCCUAUCAUUGCAAUACCGUUUACGCUCACUUUUACCGCUUGUUACCUUGCUGUUUUUAUUAUUUCAGAUUACAAAAACCUAUAUCUACUAUCUAUUUUGCACUUGUAUCACCAUCUCUUCGCCGAACUAGUGCACCUAUACAAUUUACCACUGUAUUGGGUGUGUUGGGGACACAAGAGACUCUUUGUUAUUUGGUUGCAGGGUUGCUUGAGAGAGACCAUCUUCAUCCUACGCCUCCUACGGAUUGAUAAACCUUAGGUCAUCCACUUGAGGGAAAUUUGCUACUGUCCUACAAACCUGUGCACUUGCAGGCCCAACAACGUCUACAAGAAGAAGGUUGUGCAGUAGACAUCAUGUCCUUGUCAGCGGAAGAUACAAAGACACACUUCUAAAACUGCUUUUAAUGUCUUAUCUCUUGCCUGAACACUGGAGAAGCCGGAACGACCACCCGACAAUCCAGGCGUGCGUGGAAACAUGAUUCAACUCCUGAUAAGUUGCAUGCAUGCCACGUGUCGUUUAGAUGUGAACCGCCAGGGGCACGUGCGUAAUUACACUGCGUCGCCCUCCUCCUUAUAAAUACUAGCCCCCUUGCGGUCAAUAUCUCCUCUUCCACCUCUCCACCUUGCUCAAACCCUAGCGCCACCGCUAGCUAGCUUGUGUCGACGCUGAAGAUGAAGCGCUUAGCUGCAGCGACCUCUUCGAUGUCGUCCUCACGCCAGCCGCGGACCUCGUCUUCUUCGCUGCUGCCAUAGGUGUCUUCCGCCGCCAAGUUAGGGCGCGGGAGAUUGGACUGCUCGGCCUCCCAUCUACCUCGUCUAGCAGUUCGUCUAUGGUAAAUAAAUCUCAGUUCUUACAGUCUUUUUGAUCUAUCAAAUCCAUCCACUUCAACCAAAAGUGGUUUCUGCACUUCCAAAUCUAGAUCUGUCUCUUUCUACAUAUCAUGUAUUGCAAAGUAUGUUCACUUAUGCUUCAUAACUAGUUAGAUUCCUCACUUGUACCUAUUCUUGGAUUCAUACAAAUCUGAAACCAACUUCCUUCAAUAAGUGAAUGUCUUCGCACUGUGAGGUCAAUGUCUUCUAACUGAUUUAUCUUCAAAAUCUUCUGAGAAUGCAUAUGACCUCUUCCCCUUCCCUCGCAUCUCUAAUGCUGUCACAGGUCCAUGUUCGUGGGAGAAUCCUUUAGUUAUCAUAGUCUGCAUUCAUUUGCAGAAUUCUUACAUCGUCACAUUGAAUCUCCUGAAGCCAGCUCUUGUUUGACAAGCAGACGGAAGCCUUUCACUGUAUUGAAGCCUAUCUGUCUGAAUAUUAUGGCUUCUGAAAAAUCUGCAUGAAAAGGUGGCAGGCAACGCCGAGGCAAUACAACACUGGACCUGCCCUCAGACCUGUAUGAGCUCUACAAGUCAGGCCUUGAAGAGAGUUGUACACAGCGCAAGAAUAGGAUCCAAUGGAUCCGAAGAUAUUGGGCUGAGCAAUGGUUCAAGUACAACUUCGUGACACCUGAGUAUGCUGAGAAGAAUGCCAUCAAGCACCCAUGGGGCGAUUGUCUUUACAAAAAUUUGGUACCGAAGACAAAGGCUGAAGCUAUUGCUCAGGAGUUCUGUCCUUGCAUGGUCUGAGGAUCUCAGCCUGAGAAUGCUGACCCAUCAUCUCUUUUAUGGUAUCGUGACGACAACCUCUUCAAGCGCAACCUUCAGUUUGCAAAGGACUCAGCCGUGAAGAACAAGAAGGAAUUUGGCCUCGACUUCAACCCUGGCCCAUCUGCACCAGGUCAGAUGGAACACGUGAAGCCACCGAGAACAGAAUUGGCCCCUUCGCCAACUUCGAUGGGCAUCUGUCCCACAAUGCUGCCUAGAGGGCCGCAGUGGAGAAAUCUGCUAAAGAUGCAGACUUUGAAGAUGCUCCCUCACCACCGAAACAAAAGAAAAAGGCUAAAGCUUCAAAGCCCUCUGUUGCGGCUGCUCCAAAAGCUUAGAUGAAGAAGCCACUAAAAACUGCACCUCCUGAACCCAGUGUGCAAUCGGAAGAUUUGUCUCGUGUGUCCAAGAGGACUAAGAAGCCAAUGCCCAAGAAUGUUUCUGGGCAGACUCUCACUCUAGCUGCCAUUCUGCGAAAUGAGGAAGACACCAUUGAUCUGUCAAGUGAUGAAGAUCUUGGUGAUGAAGCUCUAGAGAUGUUGAUCAAUAGCAAGCAAUAGGAGAGAUCUUCAGUAAUCUGCCCCUCUUUGAUGUUGAUAUAUUGAACAACUUCAUCGAUGAAUAGUUUGACGACCAGAGCAUCAGUAUUGAUAGCCUACAGUUGCCCGUAGGCAUCAGCGUCACAUUUCAUGGAGCCAUUGCUAAUGAAUUGGCCUUAGCUCAGAAAAUCGUUGAGCUCAAAAAUGAGAUUGAUUAUGAGAAGGCGCAUUUCAAGAAGCAUAUGCACAAGCUCAGCGUGGAUGAUGUGCAAAUUUUCAAGAAGAUGUUGCAUGAUCUCAAGGCUGAAUUCCACAAGAAGCGUGAAGAAACCAAAGGUUCAAGAGAGCGCAUGAAGACUUAUGCACAGAAAUGUGUGCAAGCACACAAUCAAGUUGAAAAGAGGAAAGCUCUUGGGCGUCCUGGCAUCGACCCCAGAAUGGCUGCCAAGAAAAGUAAGAAGCAUGCCGAAGCAAAUCCUGAUGCUCCAAGGCAGGGACAACCAAGCAUUGUCUUCCCUGCCAGCAUGACUGGCUCGAAGCCAAAGGUCCCCUCUGCUACUUCAGAACUCAAGAAGACAAGCAAGCUGAAGCCGAAGCUAGGAAGGGGAAGCUCAAGGAUACAUCUGAUGAUGCUCCCUCCAAGAAAAAGUUGAAGACAAAGGGCUCUAUGUCUUCAAGAAAAGAGCAUGCAGCUUCCCCAGAGCCCCUCAUUGUCGAACCCAUUUCUGUUGCGUUACCUGCCUCUGCAAAUCGCGAGCUUCGUCUCGUCAUCCAUGAACCUGCUCCUACAGAGGCUCCUGAAAAUGAAGAAGUUCCAGCUGUUGACCCCAACGCAGCUGAAGACAUUGGUCAUGAAGACAAUGUGCAUGAUGAUGAAGUCCUUCCUCAGCUCGAGCCCCAGUUGGUAUCAUUGCCUGCUCCAACAAGCAGUGAACUCAUUAGCAUCGGUCGUCCAUUGACACCAAUUGCUCAAGAUGACUCAUGGGCUGAGCGCCAACAAGAAGACACCCCUGUACAAGAUGAAACACCCCGUACUCCACCUGCUCAAGUCACCUCUUCGAUGCUUGAUGAUGACAACUACAUGGAGGCCACUCCAUCUCCAAAGGCGUCGCCAAUGUUUUGCAGGCUUUGCAAAGGCCUCAGGCCACAGGUCUCCAUUUCGAGCAUUCCAGAAGAAGAAGUGCAAAAAAGUGGCUCAGUGGCACAUCAAGUGUUCCCUGACGCCAAUCCCUCUGCGACUGCUCAAGAUUCUGAAGCUAAAGUUGUUGAAGACAUUCCGGUUGCAUCAGCCGAUGAAGAAAAAGAAGAAGAAAGAGAAGCCCCACCCCCUGCUAAUGAUCAAGUCAUUCUUGAAGAGAAUGUGAUCAUGCUCGAUUCUCCAGUUGUUGAAUAGAUAGAGGUUGAAAACACUAAGGCUGCCACCAACAACGCUACUGAAGCCAAUGACCUGGUCAUAGCUGAAGACACUGUGGGGCCUGAAGCAAAUGUGAAUGUUGAAGCCACUAUGACACCAAUCACCUCAGAUGGCGCUGUUCCUCCACCAUGGCCCCAUACCAUGGAAAGAUCAUUCAAUCAUGAAGGUCAGCUUGUCACAGUCAGAUGGGCAAUUAUGGUUCCACCUACUGCUCCCGGGCCACAGUAUGACUAACAUUUAGAGCAGAGGCCUCAAGUUCAGAAGCCAAAGCCACGUCUGCCAAGGCUUCCAAGUGCUAACACCACACAGGGCUCAUUCAGCGUGCUCAGCUCCAAAGAGCACAAUACUUUCUUUGACAGCACUAAGAACCCAUACACGAAACCCAAGAUCUCCUCUGACAGAUUUUGGAGCCAUCAACAGCGAAGCUAUUACUCUUGCAUCCUGUACAACCAAGACCGGAUUUUUCUGCACAAACUUCUGGAUUGUGAUGCUAUGGCUGGCUUGCCAUGUCUUGAAGAGGCCCUUGACUACUUUCGGGAUGUUGGUCUUCUGGCUUUUGUGACUAAGAAGGAACACUGGAAUGAAGAGCUUCUGCCGCAGUUUUAUGCCACUCUACAUAUUCGAGGCUACAAUAGGGAUCCAAAGACUUGGAUCCUUGAGUGGAUGACAGGUGAUGUACAUCACGAAGCCAAAGCUCAGGAUAUCAUCGAUCUUACUUCCCUGCCCACUCUAGGUGAGUUAUACGAACCUAGUUGUUUGCUUUAUCGGAAUGAGCCGCAGAGCAUCUUUCAAAAGCUAGAGCCAAAUAUGAGCCAAAUGCUUAGUAUGAUGAAGCCAUUGCCGCACGAUGCUGAAUUCCCAAAGGAGUUCUUUGUAAAGGACCUUGAGUAUUCGCCAUGCAUAGUGUACCAUAUUCUAAGGCGUACUCUCUGGCCUAUCAAAGGAAAUUCUUCUGAAGCCAAACUUGAUGGCGCCAUGAAGACUUUGGCAUUCUAUGUCGUCAAUGGCAUCAGAUUCAACACUCAAGAUUUCUUUAUCAGACAACUUGCUGCUUUUGGGAUUGAUCUGUUUGGUCUGAAACUCUAUGCUCCAUGGGUGAUGCUCUUGAUUAAGCUUCGUUCAACCAUUGACUAUCAGCCUUCAGCGCGCAACCAUAUUGUCUUUCUGCCUGAAGUUGAUAUGUCUAUUGAAGCCAUCUACCCCGAGCCUGCCAAGAAGCCCCUCCACCUUCAGAAUGCUGAAUUCUAGAGCUUCACAUAGCCCAUUGAAGGUAUUCAUGUGCCCAAUGCUGCAAUUCCUUCUUAUCCUCUGGCUGGUAACCUACGCAUACCGCACUGUGCCAAUACUGAAGCCACUGCAAGCACCAUACCUCAAAGGCCUUAGAAGCGUCCUCGUGUUCUCAAUGACCAUGAGCUUCUGGUGGCUUUACAUCAAAAGCAGGACAGGCAUCAUGACUGGAUGAAGCAUCAGAUGCAAAUAUCUUUGUGGAUGUCAAUUGAAUUCGCAACUUGACCACCAAGAAAUCAUUUGUUGCGCAUGAAGCCUGUCGGCAGUCCUGGAAGAGUCUCACCUUGCUCCGCGCUGAAGAUGAUCUUUGCAAGGAUGGAUUCACUGAGAACUUCAAGUUUGACUCUAGGCCUCCUUAGAAUGCAAGUUGGCGUCGCACACCUUCCAUUGAAGAUUCUGGGUGCUCAUCUUCGGCUGCAACUAUUGUUGCGAGAGUCGUCGAUGAAGAAGAUGAUGCCACUUCUCUAGCAUUAACUUCACUGCAUCACGAUGCUGCGCCAGGCCCGUAUGCACCUCCAAACUCCAAUGUCGACCCUGCUCCAUCCUCUACUCUAGCUGGGAACGAGUAGAUACUCUAUGUCUUCAAACCUUUUUGGUCAUUACUGACAAAAGGGGGAGAGGCAUAUGAGUUGAGAGUCUUCAAGCGGGUCCAUAUGGGUUGUUGCUUUAUUUUUGCUAAGGUCUUACAACUCCCGUUUUGAAACUAUUUGGCUUUUGAGUUGUAACACUUAAACUUGAUGGUCGUCUGCUACUCUUGCUGCCACUUUGUGAUGCGAUGAUAAAUUCUGCAUGAAGUCAUUCUGCAGACGUCCAUUUUUCAUUAUGCAUAUCGUAAUCUUCAUUACUUUCAUAUAUGCAUGAUGAAUUGUCUUCACACUUUGAAGAUGGCCUCCACAAAGCAAAACCUGCCAUGUGCAUUUGCAUUCAAAAGCAAACUACUUAUAUGCACAUCUUCAGGGGGAGCCUCUUUUAAUGUAUGAAGACAAUACUCACAAAACUAAACUUCCACAUAUUUUUAUCCCCGUUGAAAACUUCAACCGGUUUGUCAUCAAUCACCAAAAAGGGGGAGAUUGUAAGUGCACCUAGUGCCACCCCUAGUUGGUUUUGGAGUAUUGACGACAAACGUGGUUGAGGGACUAAUGUGUUUGUGAGAAUUGCAGGAUAACACAGGUAGUAGUCCCUCAUUGAUUCGGUUUACCUACCAGAGAUGAACCCUAAAAAUGUGUGAAGACAUUGAAGACAAUGGUGGUUCGUGAAGACAUUCACGACAAAGAUUAUGACUUGUGAAGAUAUACACUUGAAGACUAUGGAGUGCGAAGACAUAGCUGUUUCGUAGUUUCCUUUCUUCUUUAUUGAGUCAUAGGAACCACCGUACUGUUAAAUGGGGUCCAAGUGAACAAAGUCAGAGUGACUGAAGUGAUGCUCAACCAAAUCAUAUGUCUUCGAGCGAAGACAAUGAGAGCAAACCUUAUCCAGAGCUGGAUGAGUCAUCUUUGCUUGUAGCCCAAGCCAAGCUAUCGCAUGUGUUUGAAAUCUGACCGUUGGACACGUGUCAGUUCCUUAGUGACCCAAGGUCAUUUCAGACAUACUAGGUCAGGUUGCCUCCUGGCUAUAAAUAGCCCACCCCCUACACCAUAAAUUGGUGGCUGCUCAGAGUUAGUGCACGGCUUUAGUCGUUUGAGAGCAACCCACCUCCGAAGCAUUUGAGAGAGAGAUCCUUGCGAGGAAAAAUCCCAAAACACUUAGAGCCAAAGAGUGUUAGGCAUCACUGAAGUCUUUCUGUCCGCGUGAUCCGAAGACUUGUUACACUUGAGGACUGUGAAUCCUCUAGCCGGUUAGGCUCAUGUUCUGAGCAUCCAAGAGUCAUUGUGGAUUGCCGGUGAACGAAGUCAAUGAAGGUUUGGAAGUCUACCUCGAAGACUUACCAGAGUGAUUGGGCGAGGACUGGGUGUCCUUAGCUUAAGGGGAAUAAGGUGAAGAUACGGUCUUCGGAGUUCAAUCUCAGCCUCCCUAACCAUACGUACAGUUGUCAUAGCAACUAGAACUGGUCUACCAGAUCCUUGUCUUCACCAAGCAACUGGUUCUAUCCCCUAUUCUCCUUACUAUACAGUUUGUCUUCGUGAAGUCAUUGCUUGCAUGCCUGAUUCAUUUGACUUCAUUGUGUGAAGACUUAUAUUUGUUUAGCUUCGUACUAUCUUCCAUACUGAUCAUGUCUACCUAGUUGCAGUUAGUCUUCGUGCUUUCACUAUAUUGUAUGCUUUACUAAUGCUUGCCUAGUGUAGUCUUCAUUCCGCUGCUUACUAUAUAGGCUUAGCUUACUUGUUUGUCUUCAAAGCCACCAUGUUUUGAAUACUUUCAUAAAAAUCACCUAUUCACCCCCCUCUAGUCGAUAACUAGCACUUUCAGUUUCGCUCGAUUAGUCUUUUUGAUGUGCCAUAUAAGAAUGCGACGAAGGUGGCAAACAGGUUGAAAGCGGUGUUGCCUAUUAUGAUCUCAGAAGAACAGAGUGUGUUUGUUCUAGGUAGGCUCAUAAAAAGACACUAUUCUUUUUUCUUACGAGUGUGUGCAUGCAACCAGGAUGAGAAAACGUAUAAAACCUCUUCAUGUGGUCAAGUUGGAUAUGAUGAAAGCCUAUGAUAGAAUAGAAUGAUUUUUUAACAGUCUUUGUUGAUAGUCGGAUUACGAUGGUUAUGAGAUGAGUUACUUCUGCACAAAUUUUUGUUAAUAUGAAUUAAGAUUUAUCACACAAUUUCCUACCCUCAAGAGGCCUCCCGCAAAGAGACCUUCUCCCCCCUAUUUAUUUCUUUUUUUUUGGAAGGUUUUUCUGCUUUGUUGAGUCAUGCUCAAAGGGAAAAUGAAAUUAUUGGGGUUUGUUUGAUGCACUGGCCCUUGUAAGUGCAUCUAGUUCCACCCCUUUGUUUGUGUUGGAGUAUAUAGACAACAAACCUGGUUGAGGGACCCAUGUGUUUGUGAGAUUCAUAGCAUAGCACAGGUACAAGUCCCUGGAGAUUCGAUUUAACUGUCGAAGACGACCCCUAAAAAUGUUUGAAGACAUCGAAGCCAAUGGUUUCCUUUGAAGAUAAUGAGUGAAGACAAUGAAACACGAAGGCUUAGCUUCUUUGUAGGUUUCAUUUUCUCUUUAUUGAGUCAUAGGAACCACCGCACUGUUAAGUGGGGUUGAGGUGAAAUGAAGACAGUUGUUGAAGUGAUUGCUCAACCAAAAGCCUAUAUCUUCCUUGUAAAGACAAUGAGAGAAAAUCCCGUCCAGAGUUGGAUGAGUCAGCUUUGCUUGGAGCCCAAGUAAAGUUGUCACGUGUGUUUGAAAUCAGACUAUUGGGACACGUAUCGGUUGGCCACUGACCUAGGGUUAGAUCGGUCAUAUCAUGUCAGGUUGCCUCCUCGUAAUAAAUUGAUAGCCCCCUCCACCACGAGUUGUUGGCUACUUCGAGUUUUGCAUGAAUUUUGUCGUUUGAGAGCAACCCACCUCUGAAGCCUUUGAGAGAAAUUUCCUGUGAGGAAACCAAAACACCCAUAGCCCCAAGUGAUUGAGCAUCACCGAAGACAUUCUGUUCUGAGUGAACCGAAGACUUGUUACACUUGAAGAUUGUGAUCUUCCAGUCGGUUAGGCAUCGCGUUCUAAGCAUCCCAGAGUCAUUGUGGAUUGCCGAUGAAUGAAGUAUGUGAAGGUUUGGAAGUCUCCCUUGAAGACUUACCUGAGUGAUUGGGUGAGGUCUUCUGUGACCUUAGCUCAAGGGGAAUAAGGUGAAGACAAGGUCUUCUGAGUUCAAUCUCAACCUCACUAACCAGACGUACAUCUAUCACAGCAGCUGGAACUAGUCAAACAAAUCACGUGUCUUCUCCAAGCAACUAGUUCUAUCACUUCACUCCUUACUUACUUUUUUUUGCAUUGUGAAGUCAUUGCUUGAUCCCGUUUUGUUUGAAGACAUUGCAUGAAGACAAUCCCCUUGAUCACUUCAGUGUCUUCUCAUCAUUGUCGCUAUUGUUCUUUGCUACCUAAUUUGCUCCUAGACUUCACUUCUCACUACUUUGUGUUGUUAUGUCAGCAUGUCUAGUGUAGUUUAUCUUCCAUUGUAUCAUGUUUAGCUAUUGUUUAUCAUCUAAGUCUUCGAAGACACUUCCCAUUUCGAAGACUUUCAUAAAAUUGCCUAUCCACACCCCCUCUAGUCAAUAACUGAUGUCUACUACGCUACCUUCUUCUUGUAGACGUUGUUGGGCCUCCAAGUGCAGAGGUUUGUAAGACAGUAGCAAAUUUCCCUCAAGUGGAUGACCUAAGGUUUAUCAAUCCAUGGGAGGCGUAGGAUGAAGAUGGUCUCUCUCAAACAACCCUGCAACCAAAUGCUACCUCUUGAGCACUGCGUUGGAUUUCCCCGAAGAGGAGAGGAUGAUGCAGCAAAUUAGCGUAAGUAUUUCCCUCAGUUUUUGAGAACCAAGGUAUCAAUCCAGUAGGAGACCACACACAAGUCCCUCGUACCUACACAAAACGAUAGCUCCUCGCAACCAACGCGAUUAGGGGUUGUCAAUCCCUUCACAGUCACUUACGAGAGUGAGAUCUGAUAGAGAUGAUAAAUAAUAUUUUUGGUAUUUUUGGUAUAUAGAUGCAAAGUGAAAAGUAAAAGGCAAAGUAAAAACAAAGCAAGUAAUAAAGUAAUGGAGAUUGAUAUGAGGAGAAUAGACCCGGGGCCAUAGGUUUCACUAGUGGCUUCUCUCAAGAGCAUAGAUAUUCUACGGUGGGUGAACAAAUUACUGUUGAGCAAUUGACAGAAUUCAGCAUAGUUAUGAGUAUAUCUAGGUAUGAUCAUGUAUAUAGGCAUCACGUCCGAGACAAGUAGAUCGAAAUGAUUCUGCAUCUACUACUAUUACUCCACUCAUCGACCGCUAUCCAGCAUGCAUCUAGAGUAUUAAGUUAAAAACAGAGUAACGCCUUAAGCAAGAUGACAUGAUGUAGAGGGAUAAUUUCAUGCAAUAUGAUAAAAACCCCAUCUUGUUAUCCUCGACGGCAAUAAUACAAUACGUGCCUUGCUGCCCCUUCUGUCACUAGGAAAGGACACCACAAGAUUGAACCCAAAGCUAAGCACUUCUCCCAUUGCAAGAACUACCAAUCUAGUUGGCCAAACCAAAAGGAUAAUUCGAAGAGACUUGCAAAGAUACCUCAAUCAUACAUAAAAGGAUUCAGAGAAGAUUCAAAUAUCAUUCAUAGAUAAGCUGGAUCAUAAACCCACAAUUCAUCGGUCUCAACAAACUCAUCGCAAAAAGAAGAUUACAUCGAAUAGAUCUGCACGAGAGAGGGGAAGAACAUUGUAUUGAGAUCCAAAAAGAGAGAAUAAGCCAUCUAGCUACUAGCUAUGGACCCGAAGGUCUGAAGUAAACUACUCACACUUCAUCGGAGGGGCUAUGGUGUUGAUGUAGAAGCCGUCUGUGGUGGAUGCCCCCUUCGGCGGAGCUCCGGAACAGGCCCCAAGAUGGGAUCUCGUGGAUAUAGAAGGUUGCGGCGGUGGAAUUAGGUUUUUGGCUCCUGUUCUGAUCGUUUGGGGAUACAUAGGUAUAUAUAGGAGGAAGGAGUACGUCGGUGGAGCGACAGAGGGGCCACAAGGCAGGGGGGCGCCCUGGGGGGGCACACCCCCCACCCUCGUGACUGACUCUUCUGCUUCUUGGAGUAGGGUCCAAGUCUCCUGGAUCAGUUCGGUGAGAAAAUCACGUUCCCGAAGGUUUUAUUCCGUUUGGACUCUGUUUGAUAUUCCGUUUCUUCGAAACACUAAAAUAGGCAAAAAAAACAGCAAUUCUGGGCUGGGCCUCCGGUUAAUAGGUUAGUCCCAAAAAUAAUAUAAAAUGGAAAAUAAAGCCCAAUAUAGUCCAAAAUAGUAGAUAAAGUAGCAUGGAGCAAUCAAAAAUUAUAGAUACGUUGGAGACGUAUCAGGCAUCCCCAAGCUUAAUUCCUGCUCGUCCUUGAGUAGGUAAAUGAUAAAAAGAGAAUUUUUGAUGCGGAGUGAUACUUUGGCAUAAUUUCAAUGUAAAUCUUCUUAAUUGUGGUAUGAAUAUUCAGAUCCGAAAGAUUCAAGACAAAAGUUCAUAUUGACAUAAAAAAUAAUAAUACUUCAAGCAUACUAAUCAAAGCAAUUAUGUCUUCUCAAAAUAACAUGGCCAAAGAAAGUUAUCCCUACAAAAUCAUAUAGUCUGGCUAUGCUCCAUCUUCCCCACACAAAAUAUUUAAAUCAUGCACAACCCCGAUGACAAGCCAAGCAAUUGUUUCAUACUUAUGACAUUCUCAAAACUUUUUCAAUCUUCACGCAAUAUGUGGAAUAGAAUGGUGGUUGUGGAGAAGACAAAAAGAGGGAAGAUAGUCUCACAUCAACUAGGCAUAUCAACGGGCUAUGGAGAUGCCCAUCAAUAGAUAUCAAUGUGAGUGAGUAGGGAUUGCCAUGCAAUGGAUGCACUAGAGCUAUAAGUAUAUGAAAGCUCAACAAAAGAAACUAAGUGGGUGUGCAUCCAACUCGCUUGCUCACGAAGACCUAGGGCAUUUUGAGGAAGCCCAUCAUUGGAAUAUACAAGCCAAGUUCUAUAAUGAAAAAUUCCCACUAGUAUAUGAAAGUGACAAAAUGAGAGACUCUCUAUCAUGAAGAUCUUGGUGCUACUUUGAAGCACAAGUGUGGUAAAAGGAUAGUAGCAUUGUCCCUUCUCUCUUUUUCUCUCAUUUUUUAUUUGGGCCUUUCUCUUUUUUUUGGCCUCUUUUUUUUAUUUUAAGUCCGGAGUCUCAUCCCGACUUGUGGGGGAAUCAUAGUCUCCAUCAUCCUUUCCUCACUUGGGACAAUGCUCCAAUAAUUAUGAUCAUCACACUUCUAUUUUUCUUACAACUCAACAAUUACAACUCGAUACUUAGAACAAAGUAUGACUCUAUAUGAAUGCCUCCGGCGGUGUACCGGGAUAUGCAAUGAAUCAACAGUGACAUGUAUGAAAGAAUUAUAAACGGUGGCUUUGCCACAAAUACGAUGUCAACUACAUGAUCAUGCUAGCAAUAUGACAAUGAUGGAGCGUGUCAUAAUAAACUGGACGGUGGACAGUUGCAUGGCAAUAUAUCUCAGAAUGGCUAUGGAAAUGCCAUGAUAGGUAGGUAUGGUGGCUGUUUUGAGGAAGAUAUAUGGUGGGUGUAUGAUACCGGCGAAAAGUGUGCGGUAUUAGAGAGGCUAGCAAUGGUGGAAGGAUGGGAAAAAGUGCGUAUAAUCCAUGGACUCAACAUUAGUCAUAAAGAACUCAUAUACUUAUUGCAAAAAUCUAGAAGUUAUCAAAGCAAAGUAUUACGCGCAUGCAUCUAGGGGGAUAGAUUGGUAGGAAAAGACCAUCGCUCGUCCCCGACCGCCACUCAUAAGGAAGACAAUCAAUAAAUAAAUCAUGCUCCGAGUUCAUCACAUAACGGUUCACCAUACGUGCAUGCUACGGGAAUCACAAACUUCAACACAAAUAUUCUUUAAAUUCACAACUACUCGACUAGCAUGACUCUAAUAUCACCAUCUUCAUAUCUCAAAACAAUUAUCAAGCAUCAAACAUAUCUUAGUAUUCAACGCACUAAAAAGAAAGUUUCACAUAUCUUGAAUACCAAGUAUAUUAACAUUAAGCAAAUUACCAUGCUAUUAACUACUCUUAGAAUAAUCUAAGUGAAGCAUGAGAGAUCAAUAGUUUCUUCAAAACAAAUCCACCACUGUGCUCUAAAAGAUCUAAGUGAAGCACUAGAGCAAAAAUUACCAUGCUCAAAAGAUAUAAGUGAAGCACUAUGAGCAAAACUAUCAAGCUCAAAAGAUAUAAGUGAAGUACAUAGAGUAUUCUAGCAAACUCCAAUUCAUGUAUGGCUCUCUCAAAAGGUGUGUACAGCAAGGAUGAUUGUGGUAAACUAACAAGCAAAGACGCAAAUAAUACAAGACGCUCCAAGCAAAACACAUAUCAUGUAGUGAAUAAAAAUAUAGCUCCAAGUAAAUUGCCAAUGGAAGUGGACGAAAGAGGGGAUGCCUUCCGGGGCAUCCCCAAGCUUUGAAUUUUUGGUGUCCUUGGAUUAUCUUGGGGGUGCCAUGGGCAUCCCCAAGCUUAGGCUCUUGCCACUCCUUGUUCCAUAAUCCAUCAAAAGAAUUCACCCAAAACUUGAAAACUUCACAACACAAAACUCAAUAGAAAUCUCGUGAGCUCCAUUAGAGAAAGAAAACAAAAGACUACUCAAGGUACUGUAAUGAACUCAUUCUUUAUUUAUAUUGGUGUUAAACCUACUGUAUUCCAACUUCUCUAUGGAUUAUAAACUAUUUUACUAGCCAUAGAUUCAUCAAAAUAAGCAAACAACACACGUAAAACAGAAUCUAUCAAAAACAGAACAGUCUGUAGCAAUCGUAACUAACGCAAACUUCUAGAACUCUAAAAAUUCUACCAAAUAGUAAGUCCUGGAAAAUUUGUUUAUUGAACAGGAGAAAAAAGAAUCAACGCAAAAGCACGUUUCUGUGAUUUAACAAAAUUAUAUUCGUGCGUGCAAAGUUUUUGUUUUUCAGCAGAAUCAAAUCAACUAUCAUCGUAGGUUAUCCUAUAGGUUCUACUUGGCACAAACACUAAUUAAAAGAUAAAACCACAUCCAAACAGAGGCUAGAUGGAUUAUUUAUUCCUAAACAGAAGCAAAAACAAAAAACAAAAAUAAAAUUGGGUUGCCUCCCAACAAGCGCUAUCGUUUAACGCCCCUAGCUAGGCAUAAAAGCAAGGAUAGAUCUAGGUAUUUCCAUCUUUGGUAGGCAAUCCAUAAGUGGCUCUCAUGAUAGAUUCAUAUGGUAAUUUUGUUUUAUUUCUAGGGAAGUGUUCCAUGCCCUUCUUUAAGGGAAAUUGGAAUCUAAUAUUCCCUUCCUUCAUAUCAAUAAUUGCACCAAUCGUUCUAAGAAAAGGUCUACCAAGAAUAAUAGGACAUGAAGGAUUGCAAUCUAUAUCAAGAACGAUAAAAUCUACGGGUACACAAUUCCUAUUUGCAACAAUAAGAACACCAUUAAUUCUUCCCGUAGGCUUUUUAAUAGUGGAAUCCGCAAGAUGCAAGUUUAGAGAGCAAUCAUCAAAGUCACGGAAAUCUAGCAAAUCACACAAAGUUUUGGGAAUAGUAGAGACACUAGCACCCAAAUCACAUAGAGCAUGAAACUCAUAAUCUUUAAUUUUAAUUUUAAUAGUAGGUUCCCACUCAUCAUAGAGUUUUCUAGGGACAGAAACUUUAAACUCAAGUUUUUCUUCAUAAAUUGCAUCAAGGCAUCAACAAUGUGUUCGGUAAAGGCCUUAUUUUGACUAUAAGCAUGAGGAGAAUCUAACACGGAUUGCAACAAGGAAAUACAACCAAUUAAAGAGCAAUUUUCAUAAUUAAAUUCCUUGAGAACCAAAAUAGUGGGUUUAGCAACAUCUAGGUUUUUAUUUCUUUCAAUCCCACUUUCAUCAAUUUCAUCAUCAAGAUCUAGAAACUCCGAAUUCUUAGAACGCCUUCUAGGUAAAGGAAGAUUAUAUUCACUUUCAUCAAGAUUCAUAUUGCAAAACAAAGAUUUAAUGGGGGACACAUCAAUAACUUUUAGAUCUUCAUCUUGAUUUUCAUAGGGAUUCGGUUUAGCGGCAUUCUUAUUGACUAAGGUAGCUUGCAUAUCCGAAAUUUCAGCGGUCAUCUUUUCAAGACGAGCAAUUUGGGCUCUUAUACCAUCAAAUUCUUUAGACAUAUCAUCGAGUUCUUUAUUCAUAUAACUCAUAAAACUUUUUUGUUCCUUAAGCUCGUUUCUAAAGAAAUUAUUAUGCUCAAAUUGCAAAACCAUAAACUUUCUGACAUUGCUUUUGAUCUCCUCUAGCCUUUUAAGGUGAAGAUCACCAAAUCUAGGUAGAGCCAUCGUGACAAGCAAGCAAACUAACACACAAGCAAACAAACGGACUAGAAAAAGGUAACGGGAAAAAGAGGAGGAGAUUGGGAAAGAGAGGGCGAAUAAAACGGCAAGGGUGCAGUGGGGGAGAGGCAAACGAGAGGCAAAUGGCAAAUAAUGUAAUGCGAGAGAUAGGGAUUAUGAUGGGUACUUGGUAUGGUUUGACUUGAGCGAAGACCUCCCCAGCAACGGCGCCAGAAAUUCUUCUUGCUACCUCUUGAGCACUGCAUUGGAUUUCCCCGAAGAGGAGAGGAUGAUGCAGCAAAGUAGCGUAAGUAUUUCCCUAAGUUUUUGAGAACCAAGGUAUCAAUCCAGUAGGAGACCACGCACAAGUCCCUCGUACCUACACAAAACGAUAGCUCCUCGCAACCAACGCGAUUAGGGGUUGUCAAUCCCUUCACGGUCACUUACGAGAGGGAGAUCUGAUAGAGAUGAUAAAUAAUAUUUUUGGUAUAUAGAUGCAAAGUGAAAAGUACAAGGCAAAGUAAAAACAAAGCAAGUAAUAAAGUAAUGGAGAUUGAUAUGAUGAGAAUAGACCCGGGGGCCAUAGGUUUCACUAGUGGCUUCUCUCAAGAGCAUAGAUAUUCUACGGUGGGUGAACAAAUUACUAUUGAGCAAUUGACAGAAUUGAGCAUAGUUAUGAGUAUAUCUAGGUAUGAUCAUGUAUAUAGGCAUCACGUCCGAGACAAGUAGAUCGAAACGAUUCUGCAUCUACUACUAUUACUCCACUCAUCGACCGCUAUCCAGCAUGCAUCUAGAGUAUUAAGUUAAAAACAGAGUAACGCCUUAAGGAAGAUGACAUGAUGUAGAGGGAUAAUUUCAUGCAAUAUGAUAAAAACCCCAUCUUGUUAUCCUCGAUGGCAACAAUACAAUACGUGCCUUGCUGCCCCUUCUGUCACUGGGAAAGGAUACCGCAAGAUUGAACCCAAAGCUAAGCACUUCUCCCAUUGCAAGAACUACCAAUCUAGUUGGCCAAACCAAAAGGAUAAUUCGAAGAGACUUGCAAAGAUAACUCAAUCAUACAUAAAAGAAUUCAGAGAAGAUUCAAAUAUUAUUCUUAGAUAUGCUGGAUCAUGAACCCACAAUUCAUCGGUCUCAACAAACACACCGCAAAAAGAAGAUUACAUCAAAUAGAUCUGCACGAGAGAGGGGGAGAACAUUGUAUUGAGAUACAAAAAUAGAGAAGAAUCCAUCUAGCUACUAGCUAUGGACCCGAAGGUCUGAAGUAAACUACUCACACUUCAUCGGAGGGGCUAUGGUGUUGAUGUAGAAGCCCUCCAUGGUGGAUGCCCCCUCCGGCGGAGCUCCGGAACAGGCCCCAAGAUGGGAUCUCAUGGAUACAGAAGGUUGCGGCGGUGGAAUUAGGUUUUUGGCUCCUGUUCUGAUCGUUUGGGGAUACGUACGUAUAUAUAGGAGGAAGGAGUACAUCGGUGGAGCAACAAAGGGGCCACGAGGCAGGGGGCACGCCCUAGGGGGGGCGCCCCCCACCCUCGUGACCGACUCUUCUGCUUCUUGGAGUAGGGUCCAAGUCUCCUGGAUCACGUUCGGUGAGAAAAUCACGUUCCCGAAGGUUUUAUUCCGUUUGGACUCCGUUUGAUUUUCCGUUUCUUCGAAACACUGAAAUAGGCAAAAAACAGCAAUUCUGGGCUAGGCCUCCGGUUAAUAGGUUAGUCCCAAAAAUAAUAUAAAAGUGGAAAAUAAAGCCCAAUAUAGUCCAAAACAGUAGAUAAAGUAGCAUGGAGCAAUAAAAAAUUAUAGAUACGUUCGAGACGUAUCACCAAAUAACAAAGAGUCUCUUGUGGCCCCAACACACCCAAUACAAUGGUAAAUUGUAUAGGUGCAUUAUUUUAGCGAAGAGAUGGUGACACGAGUGCAAUAUGGAUGGUAGAUAUGGGUGUUUGUAAUCUGAAAUUAUAAAAACAGCAAGGUAGCAAGUGACAAAAGUGAGCAAAAACAGUAUUGCAAUGCUUUGAAACAAGGCCUAGGGUUCAUACUUUCACUAGUGCAAGUUCUCUCAACAAGGAUAACAUAAUUAGAGCAUAUAAAAAUCCCUCAACGUGCAACAAAAAGUCACUCCAAAGUCACUAAUAGCGGAGAACAAACAAAGAGAUUAUUGUAGGGUACGAAACCACCUCAAAGUUAUUCUUUCCGAUCAAUCCAUUGGGCUAUUCAAAUAAGUGUCACAAACAACCCUAGAGUUCAUAGUAAAAUAACACCUUAAGACACAAAUCAACCAAAACCCUAAUGUCACCUAGAUACUCCAAUGUCACCUCAAGUAUCCGUGGGUAUGAUUAUACGAUAUGCAUCACACAAUCUCAGAUUCAUCUAUUCAAACCAACACAAAGAACUUCAUAGAGUGCCCCAAAGUUUCUACCAGAGAGUCAAGAUGAACGUGUGCCAACCCCUAUGCAUAGAUUCCCAAGGUCACGGAACCCACAAGUUGAUCACGAGGGGUUGGCGUCGGUUUCACAUCAGGGGGGCCCAUAGGGAGUCCACGAGGCAGGGGUCGCACCCUAGGGGGGGGGCCUCCACCCUCAUGGGGACCACGGAACUCCCCUCCGGUAGCUUUUCGUUCCAGUAUUUCUUAUAUUUUCCAAAAAUAUUCUCCGCAGAAUUUCAACGCAUUCCGAGAACUUUUAUUUCUACACAAAAACAACACCACGGUAGUUCUACUGAAAACAGCGUCAGUCCGGGUUAGUUCUAAUCAAAUCAUACCAAAAUCAUGUAAAAAUAUUAUAAACAUGGCAUGAAUACAUCAAAAAUUAUAGAUACGUUGGAGACGUAUCAAGCAUCCCCAAGCUUAAUUCCUGCUCGUCCUCGAGUAGGUAAAUGAUAAAAACAAAAAAAUUGAUGUGGAAUGCUACCUAAAAUAUUUAUCAAUGUAAUCUUCUCUAUUGUGGCAAGAAUAUUUAGAUCCAUAAGAUUCAAAACAAAAUUUUAAUAUUGACACAAUAAUAGUAAUACUUCAAGCAUACUAACAAAGCAAUCAUGUCUUAUCAAAAUAACAUGGCCAAAGAAAUCUAUCCCUACAAAAUCAUAUAGUCUAGCUAUGCUCUAUCUUCAUCACACAAAAUAUUUAAAUCAUGCACAACCCCGAUGACAAGCCAAGCAAUUAUUUCAUACUUUUGAUGUUCUCAAACCUUUUCAAUCUUCACCCAAUACAUGAGCGUGAGCCAUGGAUAUAGCACUAUAGGUGGAAUAGAAUGGUGGUUGUGGAGAAGACAAAAAGGGAGAAGAUAGUCUCACAUCAACUAGGCGUAUCAACGGGCUAUGGAGAUGCCCAUCAAUAGAUAUCAAUGUGAGUGAGUAGGGAUUGCCGUGCAAUGGAUGCACUAGAGCUAUAAGUGUAUGAAAGCUCAAAACGAAACUAAGUGUGUGUGUGCAUCCAACUCGCUUGCUCACAAAGACCUAGGGCAAUUUGACGAAGCCCAUCAUUGGAAUAUACAAGCCAAGUUCUAUAAUGAAAAAUUCCCACUAGUAUAUGAAAGUGACAACAUAGGAGACUCUCUAUCAUUAAGAUCAUGGUGCUACUUUGAAGCACAAGUGUGGAAAAAGGGUAGUAGCAUUGCCCCUUCUCUCUUAUUCUCUUGUUUUUUUGUUUUUUGUUUUUUUUGGGCCUUCUCUCUUUUUUUUGGCCUCUUUAUUUAUUUUAUUUAUUUUUUUCGUCCGGAGUCUCAUCCCGACUUGCGGGGGAAUCAUAGUCUCCAUCAUCCUUUCCUCACUGGGACAAUGCUCUAAUAAUGAAGAUCAUCACACUUUUAUUUACUUACAACUCAAGAAUUACAACUCGAUACUUAGAACAAAAUAUGACUCUAUAUGAAUGCCUCCGGCGGUGUACCGGGAUGUGCAAUGAAUCAAGAGUGACAAGUAUGAAAGAAUUAUGAAAGGUGGCUUUGCCACAGAUACGAUGUCAACUACAUGAUCAUGCAAAGCAAUAUGACAAUGAUGAAGUGUGUCAUAAUAAACAGAACGGUGGAAAGUUGCAUGGCAUUAUAUCUCGGAAUGGCUAUGAAAAUGCCAUAAUAGGUAGGUAUGGUGGCAGUUUUGAGGAAGGUAUAUGGUGGGUGUAUGGUACCUGUGAAAGUUGUGCGCUACUAGAGAGGCUAGCAAUGGUGGAAGGGUGAGAGUGUGUAUAAUCCAUGGACUCAACAUUAGUCAUAAAGAACUCACAUACUUAUUGCAAAAAUCUAUUAGUUAUCGAAACGAAGUACUACGCGCAUGCUCCUAGAGGGAUAGAUUGGUCGGAAAAGACCAUCGCUCGUCCCCGACCGCCACUCAUAAGGAAGACAAUCAAAAAAUAAAUCAUGCUCCAACUUCAUCACAUAACGGUUCACCAUACGUGCAUGCUACGGGAAUCACAAACUUCAACACAAGUAUUUCUACAAUCCACAAUUACUCACUAGGAUGACUCUAAUAUCAACCAUCCUCAUAUCUGAAAACAAUCAUAAAGAAUCAAAGUUCUCAUAGUAUUCAAUGCACUUCAUAUGGAAGUUUUUAUUAUAUCCCUCUUGGAUGCCUAUCAUAUUAGGACUAAAUUCAUAACCAAAGCAAAUUACCAUGCUGUUUAAGACUCUCAAAAUAAUAUAAGUAAAGCAUGAGAGUUCAUCUAUUUCUUCAAAAUAAAACCACCGCCGUGCUCUAAAAAGAUAUAAGUGAAGCACUAGAGCAAACGACAAACUACUCCAAAAGAUAUAAGUGAAGAUCAAUGAGCAGUCGAAUAAUUAUGCAACUAUGUGAAGACUCUCUAACAUUUAAUAAUUUCAGAUCUUAGCAUAUUAUUCAAACAGCAAGUAAAAUAAAAUAAAAUGACGCUUCAAGCAAAACACAUAUCAUGUGGUGAAUAAAAAUAUAGCUCCAAGUAAAGUUACCGAUAGACGAAGACGAAAGAGGGGAUGCCUUCCGGGGCAUCCCCAAGAUUAGGAUUUUGGUUGUCCUUGAGUUUUACCUUGGGGUGCAUUGGGCAUCCCCAAGAUUAGGCUCUUGCCACUCCUUAUUCCAUAAUCCAUCGAAUCUUUACCCAAAACUUGAAAACUUCACAACACAGAACUCAACAGAAAACUCGUACGCUCCGUUAGUAUAAGAAAAUAAAUCACCACUCUUGGUACUGUUAUGAACUCAUUCUAAAUUAAUAUUGUAAUAUAUAAUGUAUUCCAACUUCUCUAUGGUUCAUACCCUCCGAUACUACUCAUAGAUUCAUCAAAAUAAGCAAACAACACAAAGAAAACAGAAUCUGUCAAAAACAGAACAAUCUGUAUUAAUCUGUAACUCUCGAAUACUUAUGAAACUCCAAAAAUUCUGAAAUAAAUUGGUGGAUGUGAGAAAUUUGUCUAUUAAUCUUCUGCAAAAAAGAAUUAACUCAAAAUCACUCUUCUGUAAAAAAUGACAGCUAAUCUCGUGAGCGCAAAGUUUCUGUUUUUUUACAGCAAGAUCACAUUAACUUUCACCCAAGUCUUCCCAAAGGUUCUACUUGGCGCUUUAUUAAAACAAAAGCUAUAAAACAUGAUUACUACAGUAGCUUAAUCAUGUGAACACACAAAAACAGUAGCCAAAUCCACUUUCAUAAUUAUCACAAUAAGAUUCAACACCCUCCAAAAUAGUGGGAUCAUUACUUCCUAAAGUUGACACUCUUCCAAACCCACUUUCAUCAAUAUAAUCAUCAUAAAUAGGAAGCAUGAUAUCAUCUUAAUAAAUUUGCUCAUCAAAACUUGGGGGACUAAAAAUAUCAUAUUCAUCAAACAUAGCCUCCCAAGCUUGCGGCUGCAUAUCAUUAGCAUCAUGGAUAUUCAAGGAACUCAUACUAAUAACAGUGCAAUCAUGCUCAUCAUUCAAAGAUUCAGUGUCAAACAUUUUAAUGCAUUCUUCUUCUAACACUUUGGCACAAUUUUCCUUCCAUCAUUUUCACGAAAGAUAUUAAAAAGAUGAAGCAUAUGAGGCACCCUCAAUUCCAUUUUUUUGUAAUUUUCUUUUAUAUACUAAACUAGUGAUAAAACAAGAAAUAAAAAUAUUCGAUUGCAAGAUCUAAAGAUAUACCUUCAAGCACUAACUGAUACGUCUCCAACGUAUCUAUAAUUUUUGAUUGCUCCAUGCUACUUUAUCUACUGUUUUGGACUAUAUUGGGCUUUAUUUUCCACUUUUAUAUUAUUUUUGGGACAAACCUAUUAACCGGAGGCCCAGCCCAGAAUUGCUAUUUUUUUGCCUAUUUCAGUGUUUUGAAGAAACGGAAUAUCAAACGGAAUAACACCUUCGGGAACGUGAUUUUCUCACCGAACGUGAUCCAGGAGACUUGGACCCUACUCCAAGAAGCAAAAGAGUCGGUCACGAGGGUGGGGGCGCCCCCCCUAGGGCGCGCCCCUGCCUCGUGGCCCCCUGUUGCUCCAUCGACGUACUCCUUCCUCCUAUAUAUACCUAUGUAUCCCCAAACGAUCAGAACAGGAGCCAAAAACCUAAUACCACCACCGCAACCUUCUGUAUCCACGAGAUCCCAUCUUGGGGCCUGUUCCGGAGCUCCGCCGGAGGGGGCAUCCACCACGGAGGGCUUCUACAUCAACACCAUAGCCCCUCCGAUGAAGUGUGAGUAGUUUACUUCAGAGCUUCGGGUCCAUAGCUAGUAGCUAGAUGGCUUCUUCUCUCUUUUUUGAUCUCAAUACAAUGUUCUCCCCCUCUCUCGUGGAGAUCUAUUCAAAGUAAUCUUCUUUUUGCGGUGUGUUUGUUGAGAUCAAUGAAUUGUGGGUUUAUGAUCAAGCUUAUCUAUGAAUAACAUUUGAAUCUUCUCUGAAUUCUUUUAUGUAUGAUUGAGUUAUCUUUGCAAGUCUCUUCGAAUUAUCCUUUUGGUUUGGCCAACUAGAUUGGUAGUUCUUGUAAUGGGAGAAGUGCUUAGCUUUGGGUUCAAUCUUGCGGUGUCCUUUCCCAGUGACAGAAGGGGAAGCAAGGCACGUAUUGUAUUGUUGCCAUCGAGGAUAACAAGAUGUUUUUUUAUCAUAUUGCAUGAAUUUAUCCCUCUACAUCAAGUCAUCUUGCUUAAGGCGUUACUUUGUUUUUAACUUAAUACUCUAGAUGCAUGCUGGAUAGCGAUCGAUGAGUAGAGUAAUAGUAGUAGAUGCAGAAUCGUUUCGAUCUACUUGUCUCGGACGUGGUGCCUAUAUACAUGAUCGUACCUAGAUAUACUCAUAACUAUGCUCAAUUCUGUCAAUUGCUCAACAGUAAUUUGUUCACCCAUCGUAGAAUAUCUAUGCUCUUGAGAGAAGCCACUAGUGAAACCUAUGGCCCCCGGGUCUAUUCUCAUCAUAUCAAUCUUCAUUACUUUAUUGCUUGCUUUGUUUUUACUUUGCCUUUUACUUUUCACUUUGCAUCUAUAUACCAAAAAUACCAAAAAUAUUAUUUAUCAUCUCUAUCAGAUCUCACUCUCGUAAGUGACCGUGAAGGGAUUGACAACCCCUAAUCGCGUUGGUUGCGAGGAGCUAUCGUUUUGUGUAGGUACGAGGGACUUGUGCGUGGUCUCCUACUGGAUUGAUACCUUGGUUCUCAAAAACUGAGGGAAAUACUUACGCUACUUUGCUGCAUCAUCCUCUCCUCUUCGGGGAAAUCCAACCCAGUGCUCAAGAGGUAGCAAGAAGAAUUUCUGGCGCCGUUGCCGGGGAGGCUCAUGCAAGCAUGUCAACCAUACCAAGUACCCAUCACAAUCCCUAUCUCUCGCAUUACAUUAUUUGCCAUUUGCCUCUCGUUUUCCUCUCCCCUACUUCACCCUUGCCGUUUUAUUCGCCCUCUCUUUCCCGUUUGCCUUUUUCCGUUGCCUCUCUGUUUGCUUGUGUGUUGGAUUACUUGUUUCCAUGGCGCAAGAUAAUACCAAAUUGUGUGAUUUCUUGAAUACCAAUAAUAAUGAUUUCCUUAGUAGUCCGAUUGCUCCUCUUAAUAAUGAUGAGUCUUGUGAAAUCAAUACCGCUUUGCUGUAUCUUAUUAUGAAAGAUCAAUUCGCCGGCCUUCCUAGUGAAGAUGCCGCUACUCAUCUAAACAAUUUUGUUGACUUGUGUGAUAUGCAAAAGAAGAAAGAUACGGAUAACAAUAUUGUCAAAUUGAAGUUAUUUCCGUUUUCACUUAGAGAUCGUGCUAAAGUUUGGUUUUCGUCUUUGCCUAAAAAUAGUAUUGAUUCUUUGAACAAGUGCAAAGAUGCUUUUAUCUCUAAGUAUUUUCCUCCCUCUAAGAUCAUCACUCUUAGGAACGAUAUUAUGAAUUUUAAACAACUUGAUCAUGAGCAUGCUGUCCAAUCUUGGGAAAGAAUGAAAUUGAUGCUUCGCAAUUGCCCUACUCAUGGUUUGAAUUUAUGGAUGAUCAUACAAAAUUUUAUGCCGGAUUGAAUUUUGCUUCUAGAAAUCUUUUAGAUUCGGCCGCGGGAGGCAUGUUUAUGGAAAUUACGUUAGGAGAUGCUACAAAAUUGCUUGAUAAUAUUAUGGCUAAUUAUUCUCAAUGGCACACCGAAAGAUCUUCUAGUAAAAAAGUGCAUGCUAUAGAAGAAAUCAAUGUUUUGAGUGAAAAGAUGGAUGAACUUAUGAAGAUGUUUGCUACUAAAAAUACUUCUCUUGAUCCCAAUGAUAUUCCUUUGUCUACUUUGAUUGAGAACAAUAAUGAAUCUAUGGAUGUGAAUUUUGUUGGUAGGAAUAGUUUUGGAAAUAACGCGUAUAUAGGGAAUUUUAAUCCUAGGCCUUAUCCUAGUAAUCCUUCUAAUAAUUAUGGAAAUUCCUACAACAACUCUUAUGGAAAUUUUAAUAAGAUGCCCUCUGAAUUUGAGAGUAGUGUUAAAGAGUUUAUGAAUUCACAAAAGAAUUUUAAUGCUUUGCUUGAAGAGAAAUUGCUUAAAGUUGAUGAUUUGGCUAGGAACGUUGAUAGAAUUUCUCUUGAAAUUGAUUCUUUAAAGCUUAGAUCUAUUCCUCCUAAGCAUGAUAUCAAUGAGUCUCUCAAAGCCAUCAGAAUUUCCAUUGAUGAGUGCAAAGAAAGAACCGCUAGGAUGAGUGCUUCCAAAGAUACCUUUAUUAAAGCGUGUUCUUCCAAUUCCUAUGAAAAUUAAGAUGAAGAUCUAAAAGUUAUUGAUGUGUCCCCCAUUAAAUCUUUGUUUUGAAAUAUGAAUCUUGAUGAAACUGAAUAUGAUCUUCCUUUACCUAGAAGGGGUUCUAAGAAUUCAGAGUUUCUAGAUCUUGAUGAUGAAAUCGAUGAAAGUGGGAUUGAAAGAUAUAAAAACCUAGAUGUUGCUAAACCCACUAUUUUAGAUCUCAAGGAAUUUAAUUAUGAAAAUUGCUCUUUAAUUGGUUGUAUUUCCUUGUUGCAACCCGUGCUAGAUUCUCCUCAUGCUUAUAGUCAAAAUAAGGCCUUUACCGAACACAUUGUUGAUGCCUUGCUGCAAUCUUAUGAAGAAAAACUUGAGUUGAAAGUUUCUAUCCCUAGAAAACUCUAUGAUGAGUGGGAACCUACUAUUAAAAUUAAAAUUAAAGAUUAUGAGUUUCAUGCUUUGUGUGAUUUGGGUGCUAGUGUCUCUACUAUUCCCAAAACUUUGUGUGAUUUGCUAGAUUUCCGUGACUUUGAUGGUUGCUCUCUAAACUUGCAUCUUGCGGAUUCCACUAUUAAAAAGCCUAUGGGAAGAAUUAAUGAUGUUCUUAUUGUUGCAAAUAGGAAUUAUGUACCCGUAGGUUUUAUCGUUCUUGAUAUAGAUUGCAAUCCUUCAUGUCCUGUUAUUCUUGGUAGACCUUUCCUAAGAACGAUUGGUGCAAUUAUUGAUAUGAAGGAAGGGAACAUUACAUACCGAUUUCCCUUAAAUAAGGGCAUGGAACACUUCCCUAGAAAGAAAAUAAAAUUACCAUAUGAAUCUAUCAUGAGAGUCACUUAUGGAUUGCCUACCAAAGAUGGCAAUACCUAGAUCUAUCCUUGCUUUUAUGCCUAGCUAGGGGCGUUAAACGAUAGCGCUUGUUGGGAGGCAACCCAAUUUUAUUUGUGUUUUUUGUUUUUGCUUCUGUUUAGGAAUAAAUAAUCCAUAUAGCUUCUGUUUGGAUGUGGUUUUAUGUUUUAAUUAGUGUUUGUGCGAAGUAGAACCUAUAGGAUAACCUACGAUGAUAGUUGAUUUGAUUCUGCUGAAAAACAGAAACUUUGCACACACAAAUAUAAUUUUGUUAAAUCACAGAAACGUGAUUUUGCGUUGAUUCUCUUUGAUGCUGUUCAACAAACAAAUUUUCCAGGACUUCCUAUUUUGGUAGAAUUUUUAGAGUUUCAGAAGUUUGUGGUAGUUACAUAUUGCUAUAGACUGUUCUGUUUUUGACAGAUUCUGUUUUACGUGUGUUGUUUGCUUAUUUUGAUGAAUCUAUGGCUAGUAAAAUAGUUUAUAAUCCAUAGAGAAGUUGGAAUACAGUAGGUUUAACACCAAUAUAAAUAAAGAAUGAGUUCAUUACAGUACCUUGAGUAGUCUUUUGUUUUCUUUCUCUAACGGAGCUCACGAGAUUUCUAUUGAGUUUUGUGUUGUGAAGUUUUCAAGUUUUGGGUGAAUUCUUUUGAUGGAUUAUGGAACAAGGAGUGGCAAGAGCCUAAGCUUGGGGAUGCCCAUGGCACCCCCAAGAUAAUCCAAGGACACCAAAAAGUCAAAGCUUGGGGAUGCCCCGGAAGGCAUCCCCUCUUUCGUCCACUUCCAUCGGUAAUUUAUUUGGAGCUAUAUUUUUAUUCACCACAUGAUAUGUGUUUUGCUUGGAGCGUCUUGUAUUAUUUGCGUCUUUGCUUGUUAGUUUACCACAAUCAUACUUGAUGUACACACCUUUUGAGAGAGCCAUACACGAAUUGGAAUUUGCUAGAAUACUCUACGUGCUUCACUUAUAUCUUUUGAGCUUGAUAGUUUUGCUCAUAGUGCUUCACUUAUAUCUUUUGAGCGUGAUAAUUUUUGCUCUAGUGCUUCACUUAGAUCUUUUAGAGCACGGUGGUGGAUUUGUUUUAAAGAAACUAUUGAUCUCUCAUGCUUCACUUAGAUUAUUUUGAGAGUCGUUAAUAGCAUGGUAAUUUGCUUAAUGUUAAUAUACUUGGUAUUCAAGAUAUGUGAAACUUUCUUUUUAGUGCGUUGAAUACUAAGAUAAGUUUGAUGCUUGAUAAUUGUUUUGAGAUAUGAAGAUGGUGAUAUUAGAGUCAUGCUAGUUGAGUAGUUGUGAAUUUAAAGAAUACUUGUGUUGAAGUUUGUGAUUCCCGUAGCAUGCACGUAUGGUGAACCGUUAUGUGAUGAACUCGGACCAUGAUUUAUUUAUUGAAUGUCUUCCUUAUGAGUGGUGGCCGGGGACGAGCGAUGGUCUUUUCCUACCAAUCUAUCCCCCUAGGAGCAUGCGCGUAAUACUUUGCUUUGAUAACUUCUAGAUUUUUGCAAUAAGUAUAUGAGUUCUUUAUGACUAAUGUUGAGUCCAUGGAUUAUACGCACUUUUUCCCAUCCUUCCACCAUUGCUAGCCUCUCUAAUACCGCGCACUUUUCGCCGGUAUCAUACACCCACCAUAUAUCUUCCUCAAAACAGCCACCAUACCUACCUAUCAUGGCAUUUCCAUAGCCAUUCCGAGAUAUAUUGCCAUGCAACUUUCCACCGUUCAGUUUAUUAUGACACGCUCCAUCAUUGUCAUAUUGCUAGCAUGAUCAUGUAGUUGACAUCGUAUUUGUGGCAAAGCCACCAUUUAUAAUUCUUUUAUACAUGUCACUCUUGAUUCAUUACAUAUCCCGGCACACCGCCGGAGGCAUUCAUAUAGAGUCAUACUUUGUUCUAAGUAUCGAGUUGUAAUUGUUGAGUUGUAAGAAAAAUAAAAGUGUGAUCAUCAUCAUUAUUAGAGCAUUGUCCCAAGUGAGGAAAGGAUGAUGGAGACUAUGAUUCCCCCACAAGUCGGAUGAGACUCCGGGCAAAAAAAAAGAGACCAAAAAAAAGAGAAAGGCCCAAAUAAAAAAAAUGAGAGAAAAAGAAAGAAGGGACAAUGCUACUAUCCUUUUACCACACUUGUGCUUCAAAGUAGCACCAAGAUCUUCAUGAUAGAGAGUCUCUCAUUUUGUCACUUUCAUAUACUAGUGGGAAUUUUUCAUUAUAUAACUUGGCUUGUAUAUUCCAAUGAUGGGCUUCCUCAAAGUGCCCUAGGUCUUCGUGAGCAAGUGAGUUGGAUGCACACCCACUUAGUUUCUUUUGUUGAGCUUUCAUAUACUUAUAGCUCUAGUGCAUCCGUUGCAUGGCAAUCCCUACUCACUCACAUUGAUAUCUAUUGAUGGGCAUCUCCAUAGCCCGUUGAUACGCCUAGUUGAUGUGAGACUAUCUUCCCUCUUUUUUUCUUCUCCACAACCACCAUUCUAUUCCACAUAUAGUUCUAUAACCAUGGCUCACGCUCAUGUAUUGCGUGAAGAUUGAAAAAGUUUUGAGAAUGUCAUAAGUAUGAAACAAUUGCUUGGCUUGUCAUCGGGGUUGUGCAUGAUUUAAAUAUUUUGUGUGGGGAAGAUGGAGCAUAGCCAGACUAUAUGAUUUUGUAGGGAUAACUUUCUUUGGCCAUGUUAUUUUGAGAAGACAUAAUUGCUUUGAUUAGUAUGCUUGAAGUAUUAUUAUUUUUUAUGUCAAUAUGAACUUUUGUCUUGAAUCUUUCGGAUCUAAAUAUUCGUACCACAAUUAAGAAGAUUUACAUUGAAAUUAUGCCAAAGUAUCACUCCGCAUCAAAAAUUCUCUUUUUAUCAUUUACCUACUCGAGGACGAGCAGGAAUUAAGCUUGGGGAUGCCUGAUACGUCUCCAACGUAUCUAUAAUUUUUUAUCGCUCCAUGCUACUUUAUAUACUAUUUUAGACUAUAUUGGGCUUUAUUUUCCACUUUUAUAUUAUUUUUGGGACUAACCUAUUAACCGGAGGCCCAGCCCAGAAUUGUUGUUUUUUGCCUAUUUCAGUGUUUCGAAGAAACGGAAUAUCAAACAGAGUCCAAACGGAAUAAAACCUUCGGGAACGUGAUUUUCUGACCGAACGUGAUCCAGGAGACUUGGACCCUACUCCAAGAAGCAGAAGAGUCGGUCACGAGGGUGGGGGGCGAGCCCCCCCAGGGCGCGCCCCCCUGCCUCGUGGGCCCCCUGUUGCUCCAUCGACGUAGUCCUUCCUCCUAUAUAUACCUACGUAUCCCCAAACGAUCAGAACAGGAGCCAAAAACCUAAUUCCACCGCCGCAACCUUCUGUAUCCACGAGAUCCCAUCUUGGGGCUUGUACCGGAGCUCCGCCGGAGGGGGCAUCCACCACGGAGGGCUUCUACAUCAACACCAUAGCCCCUCCGAUGAAGUGUGAGUAGUUUACUUCAGACCUUCGGGUCCAUAGCUAGUAGCUAGAUGGCUUCUUCUCUCUUUUUGGAUCUCAAUACAAUGUUCCCCCCCUCUCUCGUGGAGAUCUAUUCGAUGUAAUCUUCUUUUUGCGGUGUGUUUGUUGAGAUCGAUGAAUUGUGGGUUUAUGAUCCAGCUUAUCUACGAACAAUAUUUGAAUCUUCUCUAAAUUCUUUUAUGUAUGAUUGAGUUAUCUUUGGAAGUCUCUUCGAAUUAUCCUUUUGGUUUGGCCAACUAGAUUGGUAGUUCUUGCAAUGGGAGAAGUGCUUAGCUUUGGGUUCAAUCUUGCGGUGUCCUUGCCCAGAGAUAGAAGGGGUAGCAACACAUGUAUUGUAUUGUUGCCAUCGAGGUUAACAAGAUGGUUUUUUUUAUCAUAUUGCAUGAAUUUAUCCCUCUACAUCAUGUCAUCUUGCUUAAGGCGUUACUCUGUUUUUAACUUAAUACUCUAGAUGCAUGCUGGAUAGCGGUCGAUGAGUGGAGUAAUAGUAGUAGAUGCAGAAUCAUUUCGAUCUACUUGUCUCGGACGUGAUGCAUAUAUACAUGAUCGUACCUAGAUAUACUCAUAACUAUGCUCAAUUCUGUCAAUUGCUCAACAGUAAUUUGUUCACCCACCAUAGAAUAUCUAUGCUCUUGAGAGAAGCCACUAGUGAAACCUAUGGCCCCAGGGUCUAUUCUCAUCAUAUCAAUCUCCAUUACUUUAUUGCUUGCUUUGUUUUUACUUUGCAUUUUACUUUUCACUUUGCAUCUAUAUACCAAAAAUACCAAAAAUAUAAUUUAUCAUCUCUAUCAGAUCUCACUCUCGUAAGUGAACGUGAAGGGAUUGACAACACCUAAUCGCGUUGGUUGCGAGGAGCUAUCGUUUUGUGUAGGUACGAGGGACUUGUGCGUGGUCUCCUACUGGAUUGAUACCUUGGUUCUCAAAAACUGAGGGAAAUACUUACGCUACUUUGCUGCAUCAUCCUCUCCUCUUCGGGGAAAUCCAACGCAGUGCUCAAGAGGUAGCACUAACCUCCCUGGCAACGAUGCCAGAAAAGAGCUUGAUGUCUACUACGCAAUCUUCUUCUUGUAGACGUUGUUGGGCCUCCAAGUGCAGAGGUUUGUAGGGCAGUAGCAAAUUUCCCUCAAGUGGAUGACCUAAGGUUUAUCAAUCCGUGGGAGGCGUAGGAUGAAGAUGGUCUCUCUCAAAUAACCCUGCAUUCAAAUAACAAACAGUCUCUUGUGUCCCCAACACACCCAAUACAAUGGUAAAUUGUAUAGGUGCACUAGUUCGGUGAAGAGAUGGUGAUACAAGUGCAAUAUGGGUGGUAGAUAUGGGUUUUUGUAAUCUGAAACUAUAAAAACAGCAAGGUAGCAAGUGAUAAAAGUGAGAGAAAACAGUAUUGCAAUGCUUUGAAACAAGGCCUAGGGUUCAUACUUUUACUAGUGCAAGUUCUCUCAACAAGGAUUACAUAAUUAGAUCAUAUAACAAUCCCUCAACGUGCAACAAAGAGUCACUCCAAAGUCACUAAUAGCGGAGAACAAACGAAGAGAUUAUUGUAGGGUACGAAACCACCUCAAAGUUAUUCUUUCCGAUCAAUCCAUUGGGCUAUUCCUAUAAGUGUCACAAACAGCCCUAGAGUUCGUAGUAAAAUAACACCUUAAGACACAAAUAAACCAAAACCCUAAUGUCACCUAGAUACUCCAAUUUCACCUCAAGUAUCCGCGGGUAUAAUUAUACGAUAUGCAUCACACAAUCUCAGAUUCAUCUAUUCAAACCAACACAAAGAACUUCAUAGAGUGCCCCAAAGUUUUUACCGGAGAGUCAAGACGAAAACAUGUGCCAACCCCUAUGCAUAGAUUCCCAAGGUCACGGAACCCACAAGUUGAUCACCAAAACAUACAUCAAGUGAAUCAAUAGAAUACCCCAUUGUCACCACGAGUAUCCCACGCAAGACAUACAUCAAGUGUUCUCAAAUCCUUAAAGACUCAAUCCGAUAAGAUAACUUCAAAUGGAAAACUCAAUCCAUUACAAGAAGGUAGAGGGGGAGAAACAUCAUAUGAUCCAACUAUAAUAACAAAGCUCACGAUACAUCAAGAUCAUGCCAAAUCAAGAACACGGGAGAGAGAGAGAGAUCAAACACAUAGCUACUGGUACAUACCCUCAGCCCCGAGGGUGAACUACUCCCUCCUCGUCAUGGAGAGCAUUGGGAUGAUGAAGAUGGCCACUGGUGAUGGAUUCCCCCUCCGACAGGGUGCCGGAACAGGGUCCCGAUUGGUUUUUCGUGGCUACAGAGGCUUGCGGCGGCAGAACUCCCGAUCUAGGUUUUGUUCUGGAAGUUUGGGGAUUUAUAGGAGGGGUUGGCGUCGGUUUCACGUCAGGGGGCCCCACAGGUAGUCCACGAGGCAGGGGGCGCGCCCUAAGGGGGGCACCCUCCACCCUCUGGGGCCCACGGGACUCCCAUUCGGUAGCUUUUCAUUCUAGUAUUUUUUAUGUUUGCCAAAAAUAUUCUCCGCUGAUUUUCAACGCAUUCCGAGAACUUUUUUUUGAGGAACUUGACAGUGGGAGAGAACUCCCGCUGCAUAUAUUUCAUAUAUCCAUAUAAAUGGGGUGUUUACAUAGAUAUAUCACUUACAUCACAUCCCACCCUCACUACUGGUGUCACCAAAUAGGGGGGUGGUCAGCUAUGCCAUGAUCACCACUCACACACUAUAUUUUUUUGGCUCUAUGCAAGCUAACAGAGUACAGAAGUAGAAGAAGGACUCAACUAAGUGUGUCACAGUAUGAAAGCAGGGCAGCCCUGCGUGCACCUUUUACUCUAUGUUGCAAGAGCCCCAAGUCCUCCUUGAAACGCUGAAACCAAGAUGUAAUGCUUGGGGCUACACCUCUAAAGUGCUUAUUAUUUCUUUCUUUCCACAAACUCCAGGCAGCAUUGUAGAACGUUUCGAUGAAGAAAGGAUGGGGCAGAAUGGUUUGUGCAUUCUGCAGCGCCACAAACCUAUUUUGGAAAUCAGGCCAGUCAACACCUAUCCUGGCCCAGCACCUUUCACUAAAUUGGCAAGUGAAGAUCAUAUGCUCAAGAGUCUCCUGAAUGUUUCGCCCGCAAAGGAGGCACGUGAAAUCAUCCCCAAUAUCAUAAUGUCUCCUCCUGAGCAUGUCACGAGUGUUCAACCUGUCUUGCAGCAACAACCAUCCAAAUACCUUGAUUUUCAUUGUACAGUUUGACUUCCAAAGGAGCCUAAAAGAGGGAUGAGUUGUUGCGUCAUGGAAGAAGUUGUUAUAGUAAUCUUUCGGUCUGUAUUCGGUUGCACCCCAAAUGUAGUGCCAAACAUCAGAUAUUGCCAUUGUUGGGUGAAUGUGGGAUGUUGCAUGCUGGACAUCCCGUACCUCAUCAAGAGCACGAGCAGACAGCGGUAGGUGAAAGGUUUCAUGCAGCUCAGCGUUGGCCCAGAAGUCAGCGACCGUUAUGUCCUCAUGCACAGCAAAAGAAAAGGCACGUGGGUGUGAAGAUUGAAGCACAUCAUUGGACCACAAAUCCUUCCAGAGCAGCGUGGUUGAUCCGUCAACCACUUGGACGCGAGUGAUCCCCCUGUAAAUGGGCGUUAGCUUGAGAACGUCUUUCCACCAGAAAGACCCGAUCGAAUCCACCGCAUGAGGCACCUGGUUAGCAUAUUGAUUAUCCCAAAGCAUUGUAACCCAUGGCACGUCCAGUUUGUUAUAGAACUUGUGCAAAAACUUUAGCAGGAGGGCAUCAUUAUGUAUUUGAAUGUUGAUCACUCCCAGCCCGCCCUUACUCUUGGGCUUGCAAACUAGCUCCCAAGCAGCCAGCAAGUUGCAUUUGUCUCCUUGAUCAGUUUUCUUUUUCCAGAGGCAUCUCCUUCGAAUCUUGUCUAGAAUUCCAAUCAGUUUCGGAGGGAACUUGAGCGUGCACAUGGCAAACACCAGGAGCGAUGUGACAGAAGCAUUGAGCCAGGAAAGGCGGCCCCCAUAAGACAUCAUGUCAAUCGUGGCAGUGAGACGACGUUCCAUUUUGCAAACCAGAGGCAUGAAUUCUUGGAUGGUUGGUCUUGUAGUGCCAAGUGGGAGGCCCAGGUAGGUGAGGGGCAUUGUACCUACAUUGCAUCCGAAGAUAGUGGCUAAGCUUGAAGCUGAACUUGCAUCCAUGUUGAUUGGAAUCAACGUUGAUUUGUGGAAAUUAAUUUUGAGGCCGAUCGAGGAUGCGUAGUCAGAAAGGAUUUUUUUGACACGUAUCGCUUGAUGUGGGCAGGAAGGCAAGGCAAGUAAUGUAUCGUCCGCGUAUUGGAUCACCGGGUAGUCAUUUUGCCCAAAGCAGGGAAAAGGCAGGCUGAUAUCUCCACGUCUGAAAGCAUCAUCGAUCGCGCAUUGAAGUAGCUCGGCUGUGAGGACAAAAAUGAGGGGGGAGAGAGGGUCACCUUGCCUCACACCACACUAGGACUGACGAACGACCCAAGGAGAAAAGGCACUUGAUCCAAGAGAUCCACUUGUCAUUGAAACCCAUUUGCUGCAUAAUGCAAAUCAUCGGUUCGUGUGCAAUAGUAUCAAACGCCUUAGCGAAAUCAAGUUUGAGAAGAACGAUUGGCCGGCACGAGCUUUGACAUUGAUGAAGAUAUUGGUAUGCCCACGCCAGGCAAUCCUGUAUCGCGCGUCCUUUAAUGAAUCCAUACUGGUUUCGGUGCACAAGGGAGAUGAUGACACGUUGAAGUCUAUCAGCUAGCAGUUUGGUAAUCAACUUGAGGCAGCAAUUGAGCAGAGUAAUGGGUCAGAAAUCAUUUACAGUCUCCGGAGAGUUGAUCUUAGGUAUGAGCGUGAUGAGACCAUCAUUGAUACUUGUCACGUCUAACGUACCUUCAAAGAACUGGUCGCAAAGGGCAUAGAAGUCAUGCCGAAUAAUGGGCCAGCAAGCUUUCAAGAACGCCCCACUGAACCCGUCCGGGCCAGGUGCUCGGUCAGGCGGUAUAUCUUUGACCACAUUAUCGAUUUCCUCAUGGGUAAAAGGAGUGGUGAGCUGGUCGAGGUUGGUUGCGCGGGGGAUGAUUGUUGGAAUGUCCAAUUUCAUGUCCGAAGGGGAGACAGUCCCUAGGCGAUCUUUGUAGGUUUGAAACAAGAGGGCCUCUUUGGCAGGGUGAUUAUCAACCAACGUGCCAUCUUCAAGCUUGAAGGAGGCGAUGUUGUUUUGGCGAUAACGUUCCGUGGGCAGAGCUUGAAUUUUUUUGGAGUUUUCUUCAAACUUGAUCCAACGAAUAGUACAGCGCUUCUUCCAAUAUAGUUUUUGAUAUUUGAGCAGUCUGAGCAAAUAUGACUUUAAGAUACGUCUGAAGUUCAUUUCUGGGAUUGAAAGGGUUCGUUUAUUCUCCAGCUCAUCUAAAUCCGCAAGGACAGCAUUACAGUUCGUGAUGGCCACAGAAAGACGAGAAAUACUCUUACUCCAGAUCUUGAGGGCGUGUCGAAGAGCUUUGAAUUUGCGACAAAGAAGUGUAGCAGCGUUUGCGGUCCCAACUGGCCGCUCCCAAACAUCCCUAACAAUGUCCAUAAACCCUGGCUGCAAGAUCCAGUAGGAUUCAAAACGAAAGAGCUUUAAUCAUGGUAUUUUCGUCUCGAUAGAGACAACGCAAGGGAUGUGGUCCGAAACAGGCUUGCCAAGGGGUUUAACGAGCGUCUUAGGGUAAACGUUGGUCCAGUGCAAAGACGUGAAGAACCAGUCAAUCUGCUCAAGUAGAGGGUCAAUCUGCUCAAGUAGAGGGUCAAUCUGCAUAUUACUCCAAGUAUAGGUUCUUCCUUUCACCGGGAGCUCAAUUAGUUGCAGCUUACGGAUGAUGUCGUUGAAAGUAAUCAUGUCAUGAAUGUUACCCCCAGGUUUAUUACGAUUGUCUGGUGCUCUCAUGUAGUUAAAGUCGCCUAACAACAACCAGUCUUGAUUACUGGGUAUUUGAAUGUCAUAUAGCCAUUGCGUGAAAGCAUCUCUAUCCGCCCCCGUGCACGGCCUGUACACAUUGACUAACGUCCAACGCUGAGAGGAUUGUGUGCUAACGAAAUCGACAACUAGCGCAUAUGGUUCAGACGAAAUAACGGAGCCAGAGAAAACCAAACUUUUCCAGAUCGUUAGCAGCCCCCCAGAGGCGCCACACGAAGGUACAUAAGCAAAACGAUCAAAUUGUCUAGGACAACAGGUUUUAAUAAAAGCAAAAGUAACCUCAGGCAUCUUAGUCUCCUGAAUGCAAACGACAGCACACCCACUGGUGGAGAUAGCAUUAUUCAGAGCUAAUUGCUUCUUCUUAGAGUUGAGCCCACGGAUAUUCCACGAGAGCACAUUCCAGCAGCUCAACAGUGCGAAAGAGAAACCCCAAGAUUAGGCCAAGUUGUGGGAGAGAUCCUCUCCCUGGUCUUCCAUGUCAGUCAUAGUAGCCGAAGGUUCAGACAUCGCAGCAGGUUCAGCAAGCAGCGCUUCUUCAGAAAGUUCAGUAGCAGGUAUAGCACACCUGUUAACUCCAAUAGAUUGCAGUGUAGCUAUAGGAGUUGGGGGUGGGAUCUCACCAGUGGAGGAAGCAGCAGAAGCAGAAGUGCCAAUAGACGGGAUGACGCGAGGCUUAACUUUUGAAGGAGUCUUGCGAAUGUCAGAGAUAGGAGGGACCCUGAACCCAUCGUAUUUGUUGGAGCGAAGACUGCGGCGCACUUCAGUUGUGGAGAUAGGAGCAGCGGCUCUGGCCCUACGGGAUCGCGGGCCAGUGGCUGCAAGAGGUGCCACAGCCUCAGAGAUCACAGAGGAUUCAGGUGCUGGAAUAUGCGUAACUUGCUCUAUAUCCAUAGUUGCGUCGUCAGUGUUAGGCAGCAAGGCAAGUUCAGUGGUGUUAGCCCUCAUAGUAGGUUCAGAUAGCUCCUCGAUGGUCAGUGAAGAAGAUUCCAGAGCAGGAGCAAAGCUAGAUUGCUGUAAGAAGUUCAUACUAGAAGUGUCCUGUGUGAUCAAAACAGAUAACCGAAUCAGGUUUGUUCUUAAACCAAACCCCUCCCUCCAUGGCCCAAAGGUUGCAAGCAUUGGACUAACAGCUUGGAAAAUGAAGGUGUUGAGAUUCAGGCGAGGGAUUGGGUCAUUCAACAGCCUGGCCAGGAUCUCAUCACCUUGAGCAGAUAAACCAAACAUGAUAGUAUGAUCAGAGAUCUCCAUUGAAAUGGUAAGAGAGUCAGAGCUAGCAUUGUCAGUCAAAUGCGAUGAAGGAUCAGCCAGGAUGAGAAGAUCAAACUGAGUCGAACUCGAACUUCAGAUUGAGUGAUGGAAUCAUUCCAAGCUUCGAGCGCGUUGUCAGUGAUAUUAUUUUCAGGAACUAAGCCAUGUUGUACUGUCAGACCUUGCGCCGCAAGCCAGGCGUGAUAGUUCACCAGAUGUGGUGGCAUUUCUGGGAGAGGAGGAGCAGCGGGUGCAUCCCAAGUGCCCCAACCAGCAUUUGCAUUCACCUGCUGGGCUGCAUUGUUGGUAGCUGCAGGUGCACCAUUUUGAACAAGCCAAUUGUGAACUUGCUGUUGGUAUAGCUGCUCUGUAGUUAACUCAGGGCCGAACAGCGGGUGCGGGUUGCCGUCGGGGGUGGCUGAUCCUCAGGUGCGGCCGGGACGUCGGGGAGAAGGCCAUUCUAGUCGUUACUGCGGAGAAUGGUGACUACGACUGUCCAACUGUCGCGUGCACCACCAAGCUGCCAUACCACAAAGCUCUUGGGGAUGAGUCGCAGACUAAUUACUCUGGCUUUCAGAAGGAUGAAUCUGCGAUCCUGACGAGGAUUAUACCAGGAGACUAAUGAACCGUAUCCACCCAGGCCCUUAGUGAUGUAAUAGUCAGAUUGAUAAUCAUACGGGAAGCCAAAGAAUAUAAUCCAAACUUCAGGCCCAAAUGGUGCAGCGCGGCGGUUGAGAGCGGCAUUGUGCGGAACAGAAGUAAUCAACAGAUCUCCGUCCUCAAGUUCAAGUGGAGUGUUCACGGCAGUAUCUCAUAUAAAGGAAUCCACAAAUCCAAAAAUCCCAACUCCAAGGGGGUGAUCACUGACCUCAGUAGUAAAGAGCUGCGAUUCUUGAAGCAGAGCAUUGAUCUGAAUGCGGACGAAGGCGCGGCGAUGCAGGGGCACAUACGCACUGGCUUCAGCAAUGGCCAAAUACUCAUGGCUGAGGGGGCAAUCGGUCCAAUGACCAUGCCACUGUGCACUAGACGAUCGGCCAGCCCAGGUUCAACGGCGAAGCCCGGCGGGAGGAAAGGCACUGGGUUCAGCGGGUAGUUCGCCAUUGUUGUGGAGUGGAGCGGCGGAGAGGGAGGUGAUGGAGAGAUUGGAUGCGACGGCAAUGGCGCAAGUUGUAGCAGGAUAUCAGACUGUGGUGAUGGGACGGGGCGAGGUGAAGCCCGUUGGGUUCUCGAGGCGGAAGCUAAAGCGUGAAUGGGGGCGGUGGGGGGCAAAUUUGUCUUUACCACCCAUUUCCAUUUCUUUUGGAGAGCAGCUCUGCGACAAGAUGACGCCACGUGGCCAUAGAACCCACAGGCAUUACAUCGGACGGUCCUCGCAGCGGCUUUGGUCGAGCAUUUGGUAGGAAAAGGAUGGCCCAGAGAUCUCGGGGGAAUAAUUGCAGUCUCCUUGUUUGACCCCGGCCAGGAGCGAGUGUCACGGCUGCUACGUUUUGUGCAAUCCCCUGUUUUAUGAUCAGGGCCCGAGCAAUUAAUGCAAAUGAGGCGAGCUUGGCAGGCGAUCCUGCAAUGUCCCCAUUGAAGGCAUCUAGCACAGAGGGCGGCCCAAUUAGUGGCAAGGGAAUGAAUGUCAUUUGCGGAAUAAUCUGCCUGGGCUAAAUCAGCCUUAUGUUUAGCGCUAAGCAUCAGGGGCCACAUGUCAUGGGGUGGGCCGUAGCGGAAAGCGGACUUGAGGAAACUUUGCGGGAGUGGUGGGUAUUGGGCACGCAUGGGGCAUUUGAAUUGCCCAAAAGAAAUACACUCAAUAACUCUAGCGGCCUCAGACUCCGCCUGGGAAAGAUAAUGCUCCAUUAAUGCCAGGCGAUCCGUUGGUAAGGCGGUAAUGCCGCCCUGGAGAGGUGGCAGUGGGAAAGACCCGAAGUGAAUUUGAGUUCGUUCAUGGCGAUCAACCAAUAGAGAAGUGGAGGCCUCAUGAUCAUGCAAAUUGGAAAAGUCCCAAUGCUUCAGAUUAACCAGGUUAAACUUGCUGAGUUCUUUGGCCGACGAAGAAUCUGUUAACUGACCCUUACGUAGAAAAUCCAGAGAAGCAGAUAGGGCCACAGGACGACGAUCAUGGUUCUCAACCAAUUCUUGAUCAGCAUGCCAGUGAGAACCAGAAAAUUGCUUCGCAAAACGACCAUUAAAAAGAUGGAAGUGGCAAACAAAGUCUGGCCAAACACGAUCCUUUAACCCGUAAAUGAAAUGCCCCACCUUGUUGUUAGCCACAGAAAAGCGAAAUGAUCGGGGGGUAAGGGUAACAAUAUUGAAACCAGAGCAAAGUCCCCCAAUGCAACAUUGUAAGGCCAAUCCAACCGAGUCAUUCGUGAGUGGGAAUGAAGCCGAAGAGAAGGAGACGACCAGAAAGAAUUCCUUGGUGUCCCUAGAGGGGAGAAGUGGACCGUAGAGCCAAACUUACGUCUCACCUGAUCAGCCAAGGACAAACCAGGAGCAAAAUCCCAAUGGAGGAGGCCUUCCAUGGUGGUGAUAUCUAGAGAUCGCCAUUGGUGGUGGAAAGCAGGUGGGAGAGAGGAGAGAUGGGAGAGGAGAGGAGCGGUGGGAGAGCCAUCUUCAUGGCCUGCGACUUUUCCCCAAUUGUUGCCCAUUCCGAGAACUUUUAUUUUUGCACAAAAACAACACCAUGGUAGUUCUGCUGAAAACAACGUCAGUCCAGGUUAGUUCUAACCAAAUCAUACCAAAAUCAUGUACAAAUAUUAUAAACAUGGCAUGAAUACAUCAAUAAUUAUAGAUACGUUGGAGACGUAUCAAUAACUAACACUUUCAGCCCCACUAUAACCCACCUACUAUUUGUUGAUGAUAGCUUGUUGUUUCUGGAGGGCUCUCAAGAUAAUUUUGAAACACUAUGUACCAUUCUAAAUGACCAUGAAGCAACAUCGGAGCAAAAGUGAAACAUGCAUAAAUCUUUCAUAUUCUCUGGGCAGUAAAGAGGAGUAUAAAGAAAACCUGAAACAAGUCACUAGUAUUACUUCAGAGGAUCUAGAGCGACAUCUUGGCCUACCAAAAAUGGUCUAUAGAUCCAGGCAGGGUACUUUUAAGCAUGUUGGGUAGCGUGUCAAUGGUAAAGUGGUCGGCUGGAAGGGAUAAUGCCUCUCAAAGAUUGCUCGAGAAGUAUUUUCAAGUUUGUGCUUCAAUUGACACUAACGUACACCAUGAGUUGUUUUCAACUCACAAAGAUAAUGUGGCGGAACCUAUCUUUGGUCUCAUUAAAGUUCUUGUGGGGUGCAGCUAGUGGUGAGAAAAAUGUGCAUUGGAUUGCAUGGGACAAGAUGUCCACUACAAAGCAUGAGGGAGGAUUUGGUUUUGGAGACCCCAAAGUGUUCAAUCAAGCGUUCUUGGCUAAGCAGGCAUGGCAUAUACUACAAGUCCCUUCCCCUUUUGUGUGCUUGUGUAAUGAAAGAUAUAUAUUUUAGGGAGGGUACAAUCAUGAAUGCGAACAUGCCUGGCUUGGGGAUCUUUCACCUUCUAUAGUAUCUCGCAUGGACGUAACUUGUUACAAGAUGGUGUAAUUUCGAGGAUAGGUGGCGAUUCCGAAUCAGAAUUCAUCACGAUAAGUAUAUCACAUGGAAGGGUCGCCUCAAGCUGGGUGAGGACUAUGUUCAUGGUGUUACUCAUGUCAGCAAUCUGCUAACAGCCUGUGGUACUACAUGGAAUAGGAGCAAGGUUGAGUUGAUUUUUUUCCUUAGACAAUGCUAAAGAUAUUAUGCAAAUCGUGAUUGGUGGCCCUGGGCUGGAGAACUACUUGCCGUGGAGUUUCACCAAAAAAAGGACAACUCACUAUUAAAUCUGCAUACCAUUUGCAUAUGACCAAUAAUUGAGUGAAGAUCGGUCGGUCAAAACCUUCCUCGGCGGUGGAUAGCCACAAGGGCUGGAUAGCUUUUUCGGACACUAGUGCACCGAACAAAGCCAAGAUUCGCACCUGGCGUUUGAUACAUGCUUGUUGUUGGUGCCGAGCUUCACCAUUGAUGGAUAAAGGCAGACGUCUUCCAUGCUGCAUGUGGGCGAGAAGAGAUAAUAUAUCACAUAUUUUGGGCAUGCCCUCAUUCGAUGAUGUUCUGAAAAUUUUUGUGCUCAGAAAAGGGAGCUCUGGUGGUGAUCCCACCGAUAUCGGCGUGCUCCUAGAGUACCUUAUCUAGCUAGAUUUUGACAUGCUUAUCAAAAGCUUUUUAAGAGGAACGAUCGAUGAAGAUUCAGGGGCCAUGUGCUAUAUGGUAGGCAAGAUGACACGAAGGAAGGUAAAAGAUUGCAGACGCACAUGUUAUAGCAAACUCUGUAGCUAGCUAUAUGGAAGAGUGGCAAGCUAUGCAAGAAACAAGAUCACGAGUUGCGACUCCAUUGAUGGCUAAGCGAUAGCUCUCGCCGGAACCCGACCGAGUGAAGGCGAACAGACGGGCGAUCUUGAAGUUUGGGAAGGAAGGGGCGGUGAAGUGUUUCUUAGGUAUUGAUGGCGUGUUUAGAGGGGGUGCAUGCUCUUCUCGACAACCUCCAACCUAGAGCUUGUUGAAAUCCUUGUGCCUCAGCAGGCAGUCCAGCCGGUUGUGUAGACGAAAGUGCAAAAUUGCACAUUGAGCUUGACUGCAAGGUCGCUGGGAGCAUGUUGAAUGAUACCGGAAAGAAUUUAUUUGCUGUAGGGCCGGUGAUAGAAGAAAUCAAUGCACUGGUACGAGCUCGUCUGGAUUAUAGGGUUAGUUGGGUUGGUCGCUCCGCCAAUGCUGCGCCUCAUGCGCUAGCAAAGGAGCGAGGGAGUUAAUAAUAAACUAUGUAAGCUCUCGUUCCACAUUCUAGCAAAGUAUGUUACCUUAAAAAACAUAUAUAAAACACAUGCUCCACAUACAAAAAUAUGGAUGUAUUUUUAUUACGUUAUCAGAUUCAUUUGGAAAGAAAAAACUCCGCCGUCCCUAAAUAUAAGAUCAUUUAAAUGGCCAAAAUGGUCUUAUAUUUUGGGACGAAGGGAGUAUGUAUUCUAAAAUUAGGUUUGAGUAGGUAGUACUCCCUCUGUACACUAAUAUAAGAGCGUUUAGAUCACUACUUUAGUAUUCUAAACGCUUUUAUAUUAGUUUACGGAGGGAGUAACCAUCUGAUAUUUUUUCUUUUAAGUAUGGAUGAACCGGAGUUUUUACUGUUUUUACAUCCGCUUGACACAAAUGUAUAAAGCGUGCCGUAAAAUAAUUCCUAGUUAUUCUUAUUUAUUUUUAUUUGAUGCUGUCAUCAGUUUUUUUAAAAGAAUUACUGGAAAAUGGGGCAGAUAUUAAAACGCAUUAAACAGCCCCAUGGGCAAUCAAAAGCAUCAAACAGCCACACCCCACUCUCUGCUACAGUCUACAGUCUCUAGUCUAGUUCCUGCUGCUACUACCACUACCACCACACCACCACCACACCACACUUGCUCGUCUCCCUCUGCCCCUCCCCUUCCUCCUAUAGCAAUCAAACCACCAGCUCCACUCCCCCCUCCCCUUCCUCCGUCCUCACCCUCCCCCUCCUGCUACUCCCCAGUUCAUGUCCUGCUGCUUCCCAUGUCGCCGCCUCUCGAGCUCGACUACAUAGGCCUCUCGGCCGCCGCCGGCGGCCGCCCGGACGACGACCUGAAAGGCACCGAGCUCCGCCUCGGACUUCCCGGCUGCGAGUCGCCCGACCGCCGCCCGGUCGCCGCCACCACCACACUGGAGCUGCUGCCCGCCAAGGGGGCCAAGCGAGGGUUUUCGGACGAGGUCGUGCCGCCUGCGCCGAUUUCCGCCGCCGGGAAAGGCAAGGAGGCGUCCGGGGAUGAGAAGGACAAGAAGGUCGCCGCCCCGCCGCAGCCUGCUGCCAAGUAGGCGCCUAUCCCCCCUGCGAAUUUUGUGGAUUUGACUGUUUCAUGGUGUUCUGCCGAGUUUUGCGGGAUGCAGUGGGUUGGAGCGCGAAUGAGUGGAGGAAGUGAUGCGUAAAAUUUUGGGAAAAAUAUGUGGUGGGUUAGUACGAGACGGUGAUUUAGUUUGCUUGGAACCUCCGAAAAGCUGUAAUUUGGUAGCUGUUGCAUGCAUUUGAGUGAAUUCCGUCUGUCGAGGGGAAAAACCCUCUUUUUUGGGUGCGAAUUUGGUGCCGAAGGGCCCAUUUUGCGGUUCUUCCGUUGCUGUUUGCGGGCGCGCGUUUUGCACUCGGCUUGAUCUAUUAGGUUCAGGAGUUUGGAGGGGCAGAAAUUUAUUCACUGCAGAGUCUUUUUGCAAUUUCGCUGUGAAUUUNNNNNNNNNNNNNNNNNNNNNNNNNNNNNNNNNNNNNNNNNNNNNNNNNNNNNNNNNNNNNNNNNNNNNNNNNNNNNNNNNNNNNNNNNNNNNNNNNNNNNNNNNNNNNNNNNNNNNNNNNNNNNNNNNNNNNNNNNNNNNNNNNNNNNNNNNNNNNNNNNNNNNNNNNNNNNNNNNNNNNNNNNNNNNNNNNNNNNNNNNNNNNNNNNNNNNNNNNNNNNNNNNNNNNNNNNNNNNNNNNNNNNNNNNNNNNNNNNNNNNNNNNNNNNNNNNNNNNNNNNNNNNNNNNNNNNNNNNNNNNNNNNNNNNNNNNNNNNNNNNNNNNNNNNNNNNNNNNNNNNNNNNNNNNNNNNNNNNNNNNNNNNNNNNNNNNNNNNNNNNNNNNNNNNNNNNNNNNNNNNNNNNNNNNNNNNNNNNNNNNNNNNNNNNNNNNNNNNNNNNNNNNNNNNNNNNNNNNNNNNNNNNNNNNNNNNNNNNGUGUGAUUUUGUUCUUUGAAAUUUCAUUGGGAAACUAAGGAGGGCAUCACAUCUGCAAAUUUGUGCACUUGGUUUGAAUUGGACUAGUCAAUUUGGGUCUACCUUUACUUUCAAGGUUUACCAAGUUUGUAAUGCUUUGAGUUGUUUUCUAGGGUAUGUUUGGUUUGAACAUACCUGGUUGCUUUUAACUCGCGUUCAUAACUUCAUAUAGCCAAACGAAAUGCUGGGUCGGCUUCAUUGCCGGUUCUUACUCUGAAUUGCCGAUGCGCAGGGCUCAGGUGGUGGGAUGGCCACCAGUCCGCAGCUACCGCAAGAACACGAUGGCAACCACCACCAACCAGCUGAAGAGCAGCAAGGAGGAUUCUGACACGAAGCAGGGGCAAGAGUUUCUGUAUGUCAAGGUCAGCAUGGAUGGUGCGCCUUACCUGAGGAAGGUUGACCUCAAGACAUACAAGAACUAUAAGGACAUGGUUGUGGCGCUAGGGAAAAUGUUCAUUGGCUUCAGGACCGGUGAGGCUGCUUGGAUCCUUGGCAAAUUGUUGCUGUUUUAAUCUGCACCUGCAUUUGAAUUGGGGUAGAAGAAAUGCAUCGUUGCACACAUCUUGUUUCGCUGAAGAAAUAACCAAUUACUCUGUUUGGAAAUGUUCUACUCCCUCCGAUCCAAAUUAAUUGACGCAGCUUUAGUACACUUUACUAAAGCUGCGGCCAUUAAUUUGGAUCGGAGGGAAUAGCAAAUUCCAGGUUUAUGAAAUUGACGAAGAAGACUCUUUUUCAGGGCCGGCUAAAUUGGUUAUUGUGGUGUAACCAGUUUCGAGGCUUCGCAUCUAAAUUUGGCCAUGCUAUUUGUGUGCAUAUUUGUUUUGCUAGAUACCUAGUUUCAGCAUAUAUUAUUACCGGUGGAGCAAAUAUUCUAUUCUAAUUCAAGGAACUUUUAUUGUGUUUAAUAUUGUUUGAUGAAGCAACCAGCAGUGUAGAUUGGACUAUGUCAUAAAAUGCCUAAUGUUUAGGCUAGCAUUCGCUAAGGGUCUGUAAAUAACUAAAUAUCACUCAAUUAUUCAUAAGCCUUUGAUAAACAGCAAUUUCCCUAUAACCUCUUCAUACCCAUUUUGUGCUUCAAGGUCAGACAUCAAACCUACUAUUUUAAGAACGUAAAUUGCAGAAAGGCGUAUAUCUAGGGACAUAAAAUUUACCAACAUACAAUGCUUUGUUGAGAAAUUCAGUGUAAGGUGGUCCUUUCUCCGGCAGUUUUAACCUUACAUGUGGUACUGAGUCUAAUUCUGUACCAGGGAAGGAUGGUGCAUCUGAGAACAGAAAGGAUGGUGAAUAUGUGAUGACUUACGAAGACAAGGAUGGAGACUGGAUGCUGGUUGGUGACGUCCCAUGGGAGUAAGUACAUAGUCUGAUCUAAUUGGAAUAACAACAAGCGUAGAAAUGAGAACUUUGAAUGAUAGUUUGGGUUCUGUAGUAUAACUUUUGAAGGACGAUAAAAAAUGAUAGUGUGCCAAAUAAAUGUUUUUUACUAGUUUACUGUGUAUACAUACAAGCACCCAGAUAAAAUGAACUCGUUCUGUACAGCAGCCAUGAUUAGAGUAUCUCUCAAGUCCAUAUAACCUGUUCUAAUAUUUUAUAGAAUGCAUGCAGUCAACCUCUUCAAACUCUGACACAGAUAUACUAAAAUUUUAUUUUAUUUUCACCUAAAUUGUGCCAUUAGUUUUUAAAAGCUUUGCUAUUAGGAAAAUCAGUGGUCUAAGCAAUUUAUUGGAGAUAGCAUUGACGCCAAAAGAACCAGUAAAAAGGAACGGACCUAGUAGUCCAGUACUAGUCACUUUGGUUAUCUUUUUAUUAUGUUGUAAUUGCUCUAAAUUCUAUGGUCCUGGUGUUCUAUUGCUGCAUGUAGCAUCUCAUGUCUGAACAAGUAAAAGGGUUCUAAUGCAGUCACUAACUCACUGUAGUUGUUCUUGUGGCACGUUAAUUGUUACAAUUCCGUUGUCAAGAAAACCAUGAAUAUCUGGUGCAUACCUGAUACCUCCCCUAUGAGCUUAUCAAGUGAUUGCUUCUUAUUCGUAAUUGCAGGAUGUUCACCGAGGCUUGCCGGAGGAUCAGGGUCAUGAAAAGUUCAGAUGUAGUUGGGCUUGGUAUGUCCAAUAGUGUUCCGUUUAGUAUAUACAUUUUUGUUUUAAUUUCACUGAUGGCUUCUGCAGUUAUUUUAUUUAACCAUUUGUCUGCAUCGUGUUACUGCUUUACUGCUCAAGCUGUUUCUCAGGCUUGCUUAAUUAUUUGAACUGCACUUGAGCGGGAAAGCGGGUUACUCUUGAAAAGACUCAUUGUACUUGAAAGCUUGUUUAGUUGGAGCUUAAAUAUCUUUACGGACCCAGCAUUAAAUUGAGUGUUAGUUUGCUUUUAUUUCUUUAAUUAGAAUAUACUCCCCAUUCCAACUCCCUGUUGUACUCUAGAUAAGUAAGAAGCCUUGUGAGUUUUGGAAGUGUUUGGAUAUAACCCAUUCCUGGUCUCUAGAGUUUAGAGAAUCACAAUUGUUUCCGUAAUGUCAUUUGAAGAACAGAAUGUUGUGCUGGUAGUUUUAAUCAAACCCUAGUUUGUCUGAGGGACACAGCAUUAAAUUUGCGUUUUCCAGCUCUGACCAUAAACAAUUGGAGUCUGGAUUUGGUUGAGCCAAGAAAUUCCUGGAAACCUAGUUAACAAGAAAAAAGAGCUAGUAUUAUGGAUCAGAGAAUUAUAACAGGUUGACCUUGAUUUGCACAUUUCUUUUCCAAUAACUAUAUAUAAUUUACAAAUCAGAGUUAAAAACACAUGCUGUGUUUGUUGAUAUAUUUUGACGAUUAAAGGCUCAAGCCUCGCAAAAGUUCUUUAUGUACCUUGUCUCUAUGUAUGCUUUUGUUUUGCUACUUUGGAAUGUUUCUCCAACAAUGUAAGGUUGAAGUUCACUUGGGGUAACCUGCACCAUCCUACGUCAAGUACAUUUCAUAAUUCUACCUUGACAGUAUGAUGUCCGAACUGACUGUAUCUCUUCUUUUUCCAGGAGUUACAAGGGCAGGGGUUAAGUCCAAGAAUAAGAACUAAAACGGUCGCUGCCCACGGUUUGAAGACGAGGUCGCACAUGCCGUCUGUACUACUGCAUGGUUUUCCUAUCCCACAAGUAAAAUCACCCGUUACUCUACCGUUUAAGAUUUGCGACAUCUCCUAGAGACUUAUGCUCUAUAUUUUGUUGUGCCCACGUUGUUGUACGCGUGUUAUUUCCAUCCGUGUAAAUGGUUGGUAAGCAGUGCGAGAGCUACUGCUGUGUUUGAUGACUCCUAUGUAUUUUGCCACUCUUGUCCUGAACCGGUCGUUCGUCGUAAAUGUGAAGGUUGCAAGACUAUUAUUUACCUGACGAACUCUGGUUCGGCACACCCCCUCCUAGAAAAGUUUACAGAUUUCGACAC